rnacentral:lncRNA from 1 species
CGAAUGGUGCUGUGACAGUGAAAAUACAUAUGGUAUGUUGUAUCUGAACAGGUUAGCUUACGAGCUAAAGUUACUUAGCACAGAUGAAAGUUAAAACAAAGACGUUUAUCAAACUGUUAAAGCACACAAACCAUCGUCAUAUGAGAAAUCCGACGCUAUGACUCUCCACAAGUUGUCCUUCAGGUCGUUAUCUUUGUAAUAUUUGUGUUUUUUAUCAAAAAUCACUCUGUUCUCCGACACGUAAACAAUCAGCCGGUCGGCCAUGUUGGAUAUACCAACACGAAAUCUGAUUGGUCAGAAGUGGACACACAGUAUGCAAAAAUUAAGAAAAUUCAACCCUGAUAAGAAAAAAUAAAUGCCGCAAUAUCACGGGAUGGGAAAACGUUGCUGAUGUGAACGCUUGAAUUGACAGGAUACGAGUUCGGAAAAAAUAUUGACGUCUGAAAUAAUCGCACAAAAAAACGCUCCCGGUGUGAAAGGACCUUAAGUCAGUGCCUGAGCUGGGCCCCCUCAGUCAAAAAUAUCUGGACACACCCCUGUCCGGAUCACAAAUUUGACUCUCCUUUUUUUUUCCCAUUUUUGAACUUUUAUGUUAAGCUAAGCUAGACGUUAUCUGAUGUUAGCUUCACAUUCUGACAGGAGAUUGUUAAAACGGGCUAAAGUCCUUCAGGUUUGAUGACUGCAAAGGAAGCCAAGCUAAAAAUGAACCAUGUAAAGGACAUAUUUUUACUCAAUUUAGAGGGUGAAUUGCUCCGUCAUUGUUGAAGGAAAUUGGAUUCAAUUUACCCCUUCUUUUACUAUGAAAUUGAAAAAUCAGUCCACAUCUUUUUUUUUCCAUCAGCGAGAAUGUGAUUAUUUCCUGUACUUGUGUUUCACGAGUGUAUCCCCAUGCCUCGUGUGUGUGUGUGUGUGAUGUGCAGAGAGGAUAGAUAAAUCUCCUCACUUUCUUUUAAAAAUCACCAGCCUGACCAGCGAGUACUUGAAACUCCCUGAACUUUAAAGGCUUCCAAGUAUUUCCUCACAGGCUUUGUUCUGUUGAUGGACGACUUUAAUACCCUUCUGUUGAUGAUUAUUUAGACCUUUUUUUCUCAGAACCAGAGCAGGUCUCUCUUGAGUUUGGGGAGAGAAGCCUCCCUGAGUUUUCCUGUGGCACCUGGCCUACUUCUUACCAUGCAAAACAGCAACGAGAACUUGUACAGCACAUUCAGAGGGUGUAUUUGCAGUUGUAGUAUUCCAUUAUAAACACUGAAAAAAACAACAACUUCCUAAUAGGCAAAUUGAUCCGCUUGUGUUUGUUUGAUCAGAAAAUAUUGAUAAAAAACUCUUUACAUGUACAGAAAAAAAGGGAAGUAAGGCUAGCUUGGCUGACUGGGUAUCCCUUUCCCAAGAAUCAGGUUCAAUCAGAACUGCUAAAGAUAGAUUUUGGGGUUCCCCAGGGUGCCGUGUUGGGACCACUGUUGUUUAUUUUGUACAUUAGCAAUAGUUGUAUAUUUGUAGUCGUAUAUUAAUGCUCUUGUGAUCUUCUGAUCCCGUCUUUUACUGUUUAUUAAAUUACUGUUUUUAUUAAAAUACGUCUUUUUUUUCCUUUAAAUGUUUCUUUCUCAUCAUUGCCUCUUUUUACUGUUCUUUAAUGCUUUUAUUUUUUUAAUUUUUCCCUUUUUAUUUACUAUAAAUCAAGAUUAUUUCUCCUCUGCUUUUAUUCUGCUUCAGACGUUUAUUCUGCUUUAUGUGUCAAAGACGUUAGUUAAAUUUUGGCGUCAAAGGUGGUUGUUAAAGCUCCUGUGAGGAAUUUUUGAUGUUUAUAAAACGGACUAAAAUUCAAAUCAGUGUUUAUUUAUGAUGUACAAAAGUAAACAAAAUCAUUAGCGGCUGGACUGAUUAUUUUUGUAUUAUAUAUUUUAAUACCUAGAACAACCACAAGGGGUAGUCAUUAGCCGAUCAGUUGAAGACACUGCCUUGUUUUUAUAAUUUCUGCAAAAUUUAUAUUUGAUCAACAAAAUACAGCAGUAAGAGGUAUUUUGUGAAAGGACAAGAUAAACAAAGACAGGGGGCACCAUAGUUUACACAGAAUCAAAGUUCCUCACAGGAGCUUUAAGUAGAAAUAUUUUUUUUAUUAGAAAUAAGUUUUUCCUUCACAUUUUCGAUUUCCUGCAAAAACCAAAAGUAAGGUGUAAAAUAAAUGAAAAAAAAUCUCAGCUGUGCUCUGUCUCCGUGACCUUUAAGACAUGCAGUGCACUCAAUAACUUCAGUUUGUCUUAGUAGGGUGGUAAUAAGCAGCCUCCUGAGCGUUGUGCUUGUGUUUACGCUGAUGGAUGAGACAGGUCGCUUCUUUAUGUAGAGCAGUUCAACAUUUCUCCCCCUCACAACUCUAUUAUUUUGGAUCGACAGGGCUUAGCAAACCUGGAGAGGUGUAUUUUAAAAAGCAGGAAAAUGAAAUCGCAUGUAUAAUAAAGCCUUUCCUGCCCUGCGGUCUAAUAAAGAUCUAUGUGUUACUCUGGUGUGUGCUGCAGCAAGAGUACAAUGGAUUUGUUUGCGGUGCAGGUUCAGAGCGAAUGCAUCAGCUCCUCGUGACUUUCCCAACUUCCUUCCUCCCUCUUUGUGAUAUUUACACUCCAGACACACACUGAAAAUUAAUGAGAAAACAUCUUAAUGGAGCUGCUGAGGGCUUCAUAAGCAGCUCUGACGAUGUUCGCCUACACAGGGCUAUUUGGAGAUUGAAAUCUAAUUCACACACUACCUUAAUCUAAUUCAAACACCACUACAAAGAUUCCUAUAAUUAUGACUGGCACUUAAUUAUAGAUGCUGCACGCAGUGAGAAAUUCUCAGGGAAAUAAAAAGUUGUCUGGCAUGUAAAUCAGGCCCCAUCUGAGCUGAGAAAAGGAUUGUAUAAAUAAUUUCCUCUUAACAGCGAUAAAAGGUCUUAUGUCUGAUUUGAAAGGAAAAUAGAUCCGGGCUGAUUGUAGAGGCUGUCACAUUAGCAUCAUGCCUCAGUAGAUGUGCUGUUCCUGAGACAGAGGGAGCGGGAUAAAAGGUGAGAUGCCUGUACGAGCUCUCCAGCUGGUUGUCAGUCGUGAACGCUGUCGACUUUUUUCCGCCGACAGUAUCAUCCACUUCACACCACUGCUGCCGUGUUUUCUUAUCUGCUUAAAAUUCUGUAUCAUCUGAAGCCUUCCCCACUCUCGGUGAUACUGCUGCACUUCAAGAAAAAUGUACUGGGGGAACAGCACAGGUGAUGAAUUGCAAUUUCUGUAGUGUUACUCCUCUUUUACAUACAUUUUCAAUCCCGUUCAGUGCUGUAUAACGUUGGUUUCUGUUCAUUUUUUGUGAGUACAAGGCCUAAUUUAACACUUUCGGACACUUGCGCCUUUUUUCCCCCCGGAAGGUCGCAAAAUCGCAUAGCGCUUGAUGUGUAUAGUCAGUCGUGUCAAAACUCUCCUCGGAAUAUUUCAUAAUUUCGCGUUGUAUAUUUGCAUCGUUCCCGUACUGUAAGGACCUUUAGACUGAGGAAGUGUCUGAAGUUUCUGACAACAAACGUGGACACUAUUGUUAAAAAAGAUAAAAAGGCUUAAAAGGCUAAAUUUUGUUCGACGAAUCGCUUUGCUAGUUGACUCCUCACAUUUGGUACUACCUCGAAGCUAAAUUCGGGUGACACAGUUUUAACCUGAGUAAUAUUUCUUUAUAGGCUCAUAGGCUGUAUCAAGUGUCAAUCAUAGAAAACAUGAACCCCCUAAUAACUUUUAAAAAUGGAGCUGUACAGAAAAAAGAGCACUUGAGCACAAACCAGUCUGACAGUAACUACAUGUCAACAUCACAAGCAGGGGGGAGAAAAAUUUAUGUUCCACAGCUCCAUAAGCUUUGCUGGUGGAGGCGGGAUUUAUGACCUAUACUGCAGCCUGUCACCAGAGGGGGCUGUUCUCCGAUUGGCCUCACCCAGCAAGGAGGCAGAUGGCGUCCAUUCUCUACACAGUCUAUGGUCCUGAAUAUCCUUCCUUAUUAUGUUUUGCUGAUCUGGCUAAUUCUGUUGGCUACACUGCUCAAUACUCCCCCUGUGGUUACCAGCGGUACUGCAGGCUUCAAGAGAAUAGAAAAUGAACAAAGAGUCCAAUCCAUAUUUGCCUUCACCUAGUUAGGUGCUUUCUUGCUAGCCAAUAGUGAACAUUUUGCGUUAUCGCCUACAACUUUCACAUAAUUCAGUUCAGUCCUCACGUUUUGAAUCAAAAUUAGUCACAUUUUUUUCUUUAAACUUUCACCACUUUAACUUUCCCGCCAACUGUUCUGACCUUUCGUUUAAUGCCUCUAUUCAUUCAUUAGCCUUGUCAUGACUCCAGUUAGACAGUUCGUGAAAAUGCACCAACCCACGUUUUCAUGUUAGUGAUAACACCCACACUUUUCCUACAACAUGUCAAAACAUCUGUAUUAAAAGGUCUUCAGAGGGCAACUCCACACUGAAGUGAUAAAGACCACUUACUAACCUGACAAGUCGUCAAAACAUGGAAAUCAAGGGCAGUAAUCACAAACCCAUACUGAAAAACAUGCUUUAAAUAUCUGGAAACGUACCCAUAGGGACGUAUUUCAGCUGUGAGCCAUCAUGUGAGUAAAAACCAUUACAGCACCUGUCAUGGUGGGAUUUUAUAGAUGCCCUUGCAGACAUGGAUUUUUUCUUUCUCUCCCUCUGUUCGCCAGAUGCACUAAAAUUGUGACAACAAAUGAAACUCUGCAGGACACACCGGCGUUUAUAGACCGCUGAAGCCCCGGUAGAGACGAAUUCAGAGCAACUGGGGUGACGUAGGAGACUUUUUGUUCUGAACAAAUCACUUUCAUGUGUCAAAGCCCUUUUUUUUUUAAUGGCAAACCCAUUAAAACACCAUAGCGGCUCAGCCACCGCGGAUACCUUGUGGGGUAAUUGCAUGCAAACAUUUUUAAACUGCAGACAAGGCACGGCCUAGACCUGCGUGAUUCUUUGCGUGUCGACUGUGUCUACAGUGAAGAGAGAUGAAUGGAGAGACCUUCGUUUAAAACAGUCUGUGGCCUUCUCCUCUGAAUGUGUUGUCGUACAUGAUUUCUCUCACCGCUCUCUGUCUCUCUUAUAAAAGCCAUCUCACUUUUAUAUUCCCUCUUCUCCCCACGCCUUUACUCAAUUUUCACAUCCCGUUUGGUAUUUUUGUCUGACCUUGCGGCAUUACGGCGGCCGUUGCGUUAAAAAAAAAAUGGAGUAAUUGAUGAGAACAUCCCCCUGACUCCAGUCCUUUCAACAGGUUCAGAUCAAAGUAUUUCACUUUAUCAUUAAAAAGAGGAAUAUUUGGACACUUUUUAUUAGGCGUGAAAGAUAAAUGGGCGAAAAUGAUCCGGGUAUGACUCAUCAGAGUUCCUGUUUAAACCCCGUUUAAAGGACAGGAAUAGGAUGAUCGUACUUUGGCUCAUUACCAGCUGCACAGAGCGUCCUCUUUUUUGUCUCCUCACUGUAAAACAGAUUCCAGUCCUUGCUCGAAAGGCGUAAUCCACGACUAAUGAUGACACUCUGAGGGAGUGGGAGAGGGUAAGCAAUGGAAAGCAGUGUCAUCCUUUGAUAUAGCUCAUCUGUAAAAACUGUAAAUAAUUUAGACUGUUAUAAUACCUUUUAUUUUUAAUGAAUUGGGCUAAAGUUGUGAAUUUGAGGUUUCAAAUAGCUGUAAAGCAAAAAGCCGCCUCGCAACUAAAACCAUGUCCAUGUGUCUAAACUAGGGGUUUAGCAAAGAGUGUAAUAAAUUAUUUCAAAUCUAUAAUACUGUCAAGAUAAUCUCAGGACAAAACUGUUUAAUGUUUCAUUAAAUGUCGCAAAUCAAAUAAUAGCAAACAUUCCCUCUGUCUACAUUACUAUCUCUGAGCUUUAAGGGCCUGUGUCCACUGACCGUGUUUUUGCAGCAUCAAAACCCAAAUGAAGAACUCUUACAAAAUUGUGAAUAAAGUCAACACCACUGAUCUUGCUCUUUACUGAUUUUUGUAACACUGUUAGUUAAAAUAAUCCAACAACAAAAGUAAUUGCUUUCUUAGCCCACAGUACUAUCUUUGAGCCUUAAGGGCCUGUGUCCACUUGCAUUUCUGCUGCAUCAAAACCCGCUGGGCUCCUGUUAAGAGUACUCGCUGGUCUAAGUUUGUGAUUUGGUUGCUGUGAGAAAAAUGACAUUGAUGAGGAUUAAUUUGAUCAAAAAGUUGAUAUAUUUUUAUGUGUGAGGACAGUAACAGAAAACAGCAAAUGAUUCUGACAUUUAUGAAGUAUAGCGUAGAAAACCGAUGUCACUAGCACAUCAACGCAGUUAGUGAACACAGGCCCUAAUUCUUGAGAACUCAGUUUGCUUUAAUAUGCUUAUCACUUUUAUUGCUUAACUUCAUUAGUAUGGAGUAGAAUAUCUGUCUUGGAGGCACAGAAGAAGAGUAAGUGGACACAGGCCCUUACUUUGGUGAACUGAGAAAAAGAUCAAUUUUGAGGACAGUUUUGCUUAUAUAUCUUUCGCCGUGACUGAUUAACUCAACUUGCUUUCUUAGCCCACAGUACUAUCUUUGAGCCCUCUUUAAUAGAAAUGUUUCUUUAGUUUCCUAGCAACUGUGCAUUGUUCCUAUAAAUGUGGGGGGUUAUUCACUCAUUUAUUUCUUAAUUUAUUCCUUUCCUACCCUGGCAGGAGCGUCUGGAACACCUUGUUCUACAUAAACACCCUUUUUUGUAACCGACUCAAGGUGUGAUGCAUUUUAUCCAGUGAAGACUCUGUGGAUUACAGUUUGAGCGACUUUCUGUUUGAACUUUUGGCACCGGAGGAAACUAAUUACAGAGUUAUUGGCGAUUUGGCUGAAAGCUGCAGUGGAUCCAAGCCCUAUUUACUGUUAGAUGUAGUAUUUCCAGUAAGGUAUACGCUGUGUGAUGUGUGGUCGGGAAACCAAGCCUGUGUAAUAAAUCAAAAUUCAUUAAAACAUCACAGCGUUGUUUGGGGUUUUUUUUUUCUGGGUAAAGCUCAAAUCCAGCAGGUCAGAUCUCAAACCUCCAAACGAGUGAUUAAACCCGGCAGUAAACAGGAAACUCUUUGUAUGCAGAGUUGGCAACAGACCCAUACAAAUACAACGUUUAAAGAUAACUGCAGUGAUAAGGAGUGAUGUCCUAUGAUGUGCUGGGAUAAACACGGUGUUUAAAUUGAUUGAAGCUGUUACAAAGACUGAGUUAUAAUGAGCAAUUAAUAUUCAAUGAGUAAAUGAGGCAUGCAAGGGAAAUUAUAAAGAAGAAAGAGGAAGAGAGAUGCACUCGAAUCACACCCAGGUCUUCAGAUUUACCUUUGUACUUCAUAAAAUUGAAAAUUACACUGUAAAAACACACAACUGAGCGCAAUUAUGUGGCAAGUCUAGAAAAACAUUGUACGUCAGGGCGUGUAUCACAUAGCUGUGACUUAUAUUAAAUCUGGUAAUCACUCGCUAAGAUGUAACUUUUUACAGUGUACUCCAAGUAGAUGUGGAAAACAGGUAAAAGUUAUCAACCUCGCCUGCUCUUUGGUCAUUUUUCUGACAGAUUUCAAAGACUGACACUUUAAAUUUUGCAUCAAAUCCCCAAAAUAUGUCAAAGCAAAACUGUUUUUGUCACCCUUUGUUUUGUAGACUCCUGAUUUGUCGAGUCAAUCAGCUCUGAAAGCAGCACAACUUCACAGCCGUAGCAAAGUACAAGCUGAUUUUGAAUGACAUAGCCCGAGGGAUGGCGUAGUCAGUCUGUCAUCGGUAUGUCAAUUCUUUUCAGAAUAAACCCUCAUCUGUUUUUAUGUUAGAUCCUCUGAAUUUGACUUUUGUUUUGUAAGUCACUGCUGUCAGGCUGAAACCUUGUAUUUUUACAAAACCGCUACUCUACAGGAAGUAAAAAAAACAGAACAGAAUAGAACAAUACAUGCGAUUUAACCACUUUAGAGAGCCGACUAUGUCAAAACAUUCAGGGCACCCCACUGGUGAUCAUAGGUCUCGAUCAUAGACCGUAUGGACAACUUGGUUCCGCCUUCCGCCAGUUUAUGGAUUUGAAGCCGAAAAGCUCUUGGUAAUUCCACGAUUUUUCUCCAUUUCCUAAAACCAACAUUGCACAUUAGUAUUGUACGAAUUCGUCAGGAGAGUCGCUGUGAUGACGCUCGGCUCAAACAGCGUAUCCCCCGGGUGAGCCACGCAAUCUUCGUUCGCCUAUCUGCUAUAUCAGGUGUCAAUCAUAGAAAAAAUUAACCCUCUAAUAACUUUUAAAAACGGAAAAAUUUCUAAUGUUUGUCCACAGCUCCAUAAGCUUUACUGGAGGAGGCGGGAUUUAUGACCUAUACUGCAGCCUGUCAACAGAGGGUGCUGUUCUCGGAGUGACUUCACCCAGCGAGGAGGCAGACACUGUCCAUUCUUUAUACAGUCUAUGGUCUCGAUUCCUGCUUCUCCAUGUAAACAGAUGGGACAUGGGUCAAACUUUAAAAUUAGAAUACAAAGAAAAUAUUUUUUCUUCAAACAUGCUUUUUGUCAUUAUAGUAACUUAUCAUGCAGAUUUGUUUCCAGGUGCUCAUUUCUGUGUAGAGUUGGCUGCUUUAUACGUCAUAUGGCCUUCUCCAUGUAAACAGAUGGGACCUAGCUUAAACUUUAAAGCUCCUGUGUCGAGUUUUUGACAUGAAAUCGACUCAAAUUUAAAUUAAAACAUGCAGAACAGGAACCAACAGGAUUGACAGUGUUUAUUGCCAUUUUUAAUGUCAGAGGAAGCACCAAAUUGAUGCAAACCUAAAAUUCCUUACAUGACCUUUAAAAUUUGAAUAUACAGAUUUUUUUUCCUUUACUAAAAUAAGUUCUUUACUUGUGUUUGGAAGAGCUAAUUUUUACUAUCUUCCUCAUUCUUUUUAGGGCCCAUAUCUACCUGCAUCAACUUGUGUGUCUUUCCUACUAUCACGGUGCAACAUGGCUGCUAAUGAGCCUGAAAAAAGGAGCCCAUUCAUAAAAACAGGAAAAUAAAUGUGGAUUCAUGUCUGAUUAGGCCCCGACGCCUGCGUUUUGUAUUUUACAUGGCACUAUCUUUGUUCAGCUCGCGCUGUAUUUGUUAAUUGCGCCGCGUAGUUUGGUCUGUGAAAGAGCUGCAGAGGAAAACGGAGGGAAAAAAGAGUGGAAGUAUAAUCACCAUCUGUUGUCAAGGUCAUUUGCCACACUAUAAACACAUCCAUCACCAGCAGAAAACACUCACAGUUAACUGGAAAUGGAGUCGUUAGUCUUGGUGACAUUUCACAUUCAAUAUUUGGGAUGUUUGUGCGGUAGAACAGAGCAGUAAAGAGCAGAUAUAAUCAUCAGAGCAGAUAUAAUCACCUAUGUGAUCUUUUAUUCAUUAUAGGAUCGCUGCAGAAGUUUCCUUUCAGAUUGCAAAAAUAGAGUUUUGAACACAAGUCAGUCUUUGUUCUCAGGUAAAGUCAGGGUCUACUCCGGCUGCCUUGCUUGACAUUCUCGCUAUAACCUCUUUCAGAAUCAUCUCGCCAGUCAGGAAAGCUCCCACAAAGGGCAAACCCUCCACAUCCUGUCAGCCGUGCAUCCACUAUUUCAGCUUUGUUUCAUCUCAAAUGCCAAAGCAGCACUGCAUCUCCGUCUUGGCAGGGAAUCGCAGGUUAUUUAGCGGUGAAAUGUACCGCAAGACUUUGAACCCAUCGCCUGUGAUCAAACUUUUAUUUCCUGCAUUUGAUUCAUAAAGCUUCACACCACAUUUUAUUGAACGUAAACCGAGAGGCGCACCACCUCCUGCUUGUUUCAUUAAGCAGACUGUGGUAACCUGCCAUCCGGCCUGAAUUAGAGGCUUUCUUGGCAGAGGGAGUCAAAACAAAUUCAAUUCCAGCCUGUGUAACGUUAAUUAAGCAUGAUGGACCUGCCCGCGCUCUUUAUCAUAAUUGUCCUUCUUUGGUCUUCGUGUCAUGUUCAUCCCUCUGCCCACACACCGGAGAAGCUUUUCACCUCACCGAUGCUUUCCUCCUGUUUUUGUGCUCGGGUGUUUUGUCGUUAAGAGGCGUCAAGUAGAAACUCUAAGCUAUUAAUGUUAGAAUCAGCCGCCAUCUACCUGCAAAAGUGCACUUCAGAUUGACUCUUCUUUCACUUUUAUAUCCAAGUGCUUCUUAAGUUGUAUUCACACCAGAGAUGUUUGAUCCAUUUAAAACAAAGCGGGGUGCAUUUCCUCGGAUAGUUUGAUAUAUUUGGUAAAAAGCUCUUUUAAACUCUGGUCCAUAGGAGACUGACCCACUACACAUCAUGAGGGCUGGCCUUUAAUAAAGCCCACGCAGGGAUUCAGACUGCUACACAGCAAACCAGUAACUUGGUCUGGUCCACAGGAUGGUCCAGGUCUCUUUAAAGUGGCUGUUGGCUAUUCAUGGAUGGGGCCUUAUUUUAAUUGCUGACUAGCGGGAGGAUUUAUUAUUGAUUGGUGUCAAAUUCAUGUUCAUGAGUCCAGCGUUGGUUUUUAUGUGCAAAUGUGAAGUUUCAUGAAUAAGACCAAAAACUUUUAAAGCUCCUACAGGGCUUGACACUCACUUUUUUCACAAGGAAGUUGAAAAAGUAAGAAGCACACAAAUAACUUUAGGGGCACAAUAAAAAUUGAUCAAAUAAUGUGUGUCCUAUUGGUCGAUAUAAGUACUAUUACUUAUUACUACUAUUUGAAAUCAAUUUUAGGUUAAUUGGUCUCAUGACAUGGAAGCUAUUGAAGGAAAACAGCUUUUUUCUGAGAACAUCAACUGAUAACUUAUUGACGGUCCCUUAUUCAAUACCUGACUUUGACAGCGAGGAUGCUGAGUAGAUUUAACCCGCGUUAUGGAGAGUGAGAAGUCACCGGUAGAUUGGCGGAGCAUGUCCGUCGAAUAUCCAACCUAAAACCAACUUCGUCGUGGUUCGCACACAUCUAUUUUGAGUCGCAAAUUCGAGUGAAACGGUCGCACUGUCGAGCACCUUCUUAUGUGAAUCAUUUGACUUUAGAUUCUGGCGUUUACACGGCAGUCUUGUGUCUUUGAUUCAUUCAUUCAGGAUCUUUGUUUUGUGAGUAAAAGCUGUGUCAGAAGCAGGGGGUUUAUCACUUAGUGCGCCACCUACCCCCCACUGAAGGUUCCAGGCAUUAAACAUUUCAAAAUAAGAGUCUUCAAAUGUCAUGUGGUGGUCUUUUUUUGCCUUUUUAGGUCAUUAAAAGACAUCACUAAUAGUCUAUCUAGAUUUAUGACCAGCUAAAAACUCCUCACAAAACUAUUAGAUGUUGCUUCUUAUUUCUUUGUCGUGUUAGCAUAUAACAGCAGCUCGGUUUGACAGUUACAGCAUAUAGAGGAUAGUUUGACCUGCGUUCUGGUGCAUAUGGAGCUCAGCGCCGUGAUACCGCUGUGAAAGCGGCCGAGCGGAGCGUCCUUUAAUGUGCCCGCAUCAACUGAACAUUAACAAUGCAGACACACAGGGUGAGUGAGAGGACAGUGCUGGAUGGCAGAUCCAUUUCCUGACUGACCAGCGUCUCACAUCCAGGGGCAGCCGGGGUUCAUCAUUGUGGGAUUUAAGCCCGAGUGUGCGGUGACAGCUUGAUAAUGCCGGCCUGAUUCUAACACCAAGCUGUGCUCCUCUGGAUUUAGUAAAGAGCGCUAAGGGCGGACAGUCUUAAUGACACGCACAUACUCAAUGACUUUCUCUUCCUAACUGUGAAAGCCGCUUAUUUUAUUUGAUCAUCGCCUCCGAAGAUCCAAACCGAACAAGUCGAAUGUGGCAUGAGAGAGGGAGUUAGACAGAAGGUUUUUGUGCGAAACAACUGUUUUCUUUCAAACUCGGUGUCAUGGAAGUUUACAGCGGGAUGAAAGUCGGCUACAUGGAGUGCACCAUCUGCUGCACAUCCAUCAAGGGGUUUCAAACUUAUCCACUUAUGAUACAGUAUACAGUUUUUUCCUUUAAUCUAAAACAGGCAAUGCAAAUGUAUUAGCACAAGCAUUCAGGUUUGCAGUAUAAGUGUUAAUUAAACUAAACAGGCUUGUUUCGAUCGACAGCCUCUGGGAAAUUAAUGUUAUUGUGAGCUUUGUAUGUAUUCCUCUGCUGCUCAUAUGUGAGAAGCAACAAUGUUCUAUAUGUGUUUUUUUAUGCAGAGAUAAAUUUAAAGAACGAUGUUUUUUUAGAGUGAAUUUGAGCCGAUGUGUUGACUUCAACUACAGAGUCACAUGAAAUUUUUAAAGUAGGUCCAACACAUCAUUCCUAUACAGAUGCUGGUUAUGAGGUUGCAGCAAUAAACUAAGUUCACAGUCGGCUCUCAAGGUCCUUACACACCGGGAAUGACGCAAAUAUACGACACGAAAUAUUCAGAGGCGAAUUUUGAAAGGCCUGACUAUACACAUCAAGCGCGAUGCGAUUUUGCGACUUUCCAGGGGGAAAAAGACACGUCCCGGGAGGAAGUGAGAAGACUGACACAACAGCAGACUGAGUGUUUUUCAGUUCUGAUUAGACUCUAGUGUUGAGAUGUCUGUCUGUCAAAAAAUAAAGGUAGAAUUUUUUCUUUUUUUUAUGCUUAGGGCCCCGCGGCCAAUAAGCAGGCACUGAGUUUGCUUAUGCCUUGGGCUGGCUCUGAUUCAGGACCACGGUGAAUGGCUUUUGAGGAAAUAUUUCUCAGGUUGAAACUAUGCUCCCUGAAUUUAGCGUCGGGAUAGUACCAAAUGUGAGGAGUCAACUAGCGAGUCAACUUUUUACCUUUUUUUGUUUUUAAACAAUAGUGUCCACGUUUAUUGUCAGAAACUUCAGAUGCUUCUUCAGUCUAUAGGUCCUUACACAUCAGGAACGAUGCAAAUAUAUAAUGCAAGUUUAUGUGGCAGCUUCCAUUACAGAGGUUUUCAAUGUAGUGCCGUCUGAGGGCCUCUCUUGUUUUGUUACCUCCGCCAAGGAGGUUAUGUUUUCGGUAGCGUUGGUUUGUUUGUUUGUUUGUCUGUUAUCAACUUUACGGAGAAAGUUACGGACGGAUUGACCUGAAAUUCUCACCAGAGGUGCGUCUCAGCCCCAGGAGGAUCCCAUUACAUUUUGGUGGUGAUCCGGAUCGCCUUCUGGAUCCAGGAAUUUUUUGAAGGAUUCUUUAUCAUUGUGAGAAUUUUUGCAUUUAACUCUAUAAAAAUGUCCAGAGUCUUUAGUAAAAAAUGACACAAAAGGAUCUCAAUGAGUUUUAUGAGGUGUCAAAGGUUGAUCCUGAUCCAGACAAAAUUCUGGAUACUGUGAUCCAGAACACACAAAAAUAAGGGUGUCGUUGGAGUUUUCAAUGCUGAAAGAUAACCAAUGGGCGGCACAGUGGUGUAGUGGUUAGCACUGUCGCCUCACAGUAAGAAGGUCCUGGGUUCGAAUCCGGGUCAGGGCAUUUCUUGUUUUAGGAACAUUAUGAACAGUGAACAUACCAGUUUAAACACAAAUAAACGUUAAUAAAAGACAUGUAACAGUCAAAGUUUUGGUGUGAAUCUCAAUAUAAGGGGGACAUGAGCUGCUUGGCAGGAGGUCUGCGCUCUCAGAGUGCUUUUCUAGUUUUCUCUCGAUUCACUCCAUCUUUCAAGGACUUUAUGUACCUCAGUUGGUAAAUCCUCUAAAUUCUCUGUAAUUUUUACUAAGAAGGAAGGACAGAAAACAAAAACACUCACUAGUUCUCCUGGUACCAUAAAAGCUAACAUGGCAGCUAGUGCUAAUGGCUGAAAAUGUUUUAUUGUGAGUACCUUUUUAGUUUUACUGUACCUGACCUUUUGAACAUCAUGGGCAAAAUUCACAAAAAAGCCACCUUUAUAGUUUCCUCUCCCCAAAGAGCCUCUCCUCUUAGUCACUUUGUAUCCCCGAGCAGCAUUUCCUGCGCCUUUUUAUCAUAAAUCCAUUUCUGUUGUUAUUGGGUCGGACUUACUCUCCGAUGGGACUUCAUGUUGCUUUAAAAACCAAUAACCGAGAGCCUCUGGCAAGUUUCCGGACAAUUUAUCAUUGUUGCUAAAUGUAAGCAGGGUGCUGUGGUGAUGUUUACAGAUUUAAAGGCAGGUUUUAGGAAACACUCUGAGUAUAUGUGUGUGCGUGAGCCGGUGCCUGUUUGGUGGCGUUGCAUCGUUGUAAUCUGCAACACAAAUCACCACAGAUUAUCUGUCUUGAAGCCAGAGCUUUAAUGAGAAACAAAUAGAGUCAAAUGAAGAUAAUAAAUGCCAAGAGGUGAGCCGUCGGGGCUUUUAUUUUGUAAAUUUAAGGAUGUUGACGUGUUCUGAGCAGACAGCAUUAAUUUAAACCGUUAAAUCUGCAGGGCCGCUCUGCUGUGUCGAGCCUGCAGCCACUAAAGACAAACAUAUUCAGUUCUUUCAAAAAUGGCAGAAUGCCCGAGUGUUAAAAGUGUUUAUGGAUGUGUUAAUGUCCCCACGGUCCAUUGUCAACAUUACAAACCCCACAGUGGUGCUUUAAUUUAAAUAAUAUUAAAAUUAAGCCAAAGACUAUAAAUAUUCCACUAAGUGUGAGUCUUCCUGCCCAGGUUGUGCGGCACUUCUCUGUACUUAAAUGAAUGAAUAUUAAAGGGGACAUCCUGAUGUGUUUUAUUACUCUCACAAAAAGUUAAAGGACUCAGAGGGACUUUUUUAAACGGACAAAAUUCGGUUUCAGCGGAUAAGAAUAAGAAUCUGCUGUAGCUCUUUUUACAGAUCAUGUUGAUCCUGAUUGAAAGGGUUAAAAACUGUGGUGGCACGGCUCCAAACUGUGAAAAAGUUGUCCUUUAGAGGUACUUAAAGGUUUGACGGUGAUUGGUGUUGUGGCGAGCUUUAAUAAACUGGACUGGUGGAUGUGAUAGACUGAGAAAUUGUGACUCUGCUGCAGCCCUUGAACAUUUAAAACGCUCACUUAGAGAUGCCCAUACAGAUGCUCGCGCAGCCUCUUUAACUCUGAGUCAUGCCGUUUUUCAACAUACAGUCAUGCUUCAUCCCCUACUGUGGAUGAGUGUGUUGGCAUGAAAGUUUGAUUUAUCCUCGUAAUAUCCAUCAGGUCAGUGGGACCUUGGGAAGGCUGGGCCAUAAAAUGCAGGGCUCUGGCUGGGCCUUUUUAAUACAGUCUCAGUAAAAUGGCUGAAGGUCAACGGCACUCUCACUCAAUCAGAUAGAAACGGCUCCAGCAGCUGGAGCAACUGUUGUUGCUUUAAAGUUUGGCUGAUACACUGCAGUCGCUGGGCUCUGAAUAAAAGAUGUUUGUUCUGCUGGUGGAAACAAUGACUGUAAGAUGUUCCACAGGAGAGGGAUGUGUCUCUCACGGUGGAGUUAUUACUCUGCGGUAGCAGGUAUCACUUCUAUAGCUGGUACACAGUAAAAGACGCCGGCUCCCCCCGGUAAAAACACUGAGUAAGAUCUUUGUUUCCCUGCAGAAACACAAGCGCAUCCCCGGGGAAAUUAGCCUCGCUAGUUAGUUUGUGCCUCUCUUAUUUGAUCUCUUUUGAAAUGCAUGUGUCAGAAUGCCGAGAAUAUGCUCACUGUAAGGAAAGAGAUCCUUCUGCAUCAUUGGAGACACACAGAGCAAAUAAGCGUACAGGCGUUUGUGUUGGCUGAGGCUUUUAAAACAUCGCAACCGAAUAGCCGAAGCUUGUUCGUCUAAUGAGAAGCUCUCUCUCCCGUCAAAACAGGAUUUUACAGGAUCACAUGUUCCAGAGGGUUUAAUGAAUUUGACACAGUCUGGUGUGCACGACUUCCCCGCUAAACAUGCAUGUUAUGUGGGGAAAAUAGAGACAUUUUGAAGGAAUCAGAUUAACAUAUGAUUAACGUACAGCGCACACGAUGACGGCAGGCUGAAAGAGGCUUUAAUUAAAGUGUGUGUCUGAUCCUAGAAGUGGGAAUUUUAUCUCUAUAGGUAAGCCGCACUUUCAUUAAAGUUAUCUUUCAUUAUUUCUUAUAUAUCUUUACUUAUAAAUUUACUGUAAACAUUAUAGAUUUUGAAAGGUUGGCAGCACAUUCACACAUUUAUCUAUCACUGCCUUGAAUCGCAGCAUGUGGUCGCUCAGUACUCUACCUUUUUCUUUUUUUCUAAAAGUUGGAUUUGCACUAUUAAAAAGUUACUUGAUUAUUGAGUAAGUUAAUAAUGUAGCUUUGACAUACUUUGAUUCUGUCGGCCUCUCUAAUACCAGUUAUUACGUAUUCAUUUAUUCCCAUUAUCGCUCCGAACACUUUGAAUUCCCAUUUUCAGUCGAGUGGUUGAGGUAACAUGCUGUUAGCCCAGCCUUCACGAGGUCGUCGAGUUUGACUGAAAUGACGCUUUUUCCUUUGGAUUAAAAGACUUGCACGAAUUAUCACACCCUCAUCGCGUUGUCUUUUUUAUUUCCCAAAGUCUUGCUCAGCUCCAGAGUUCGUGGACUGUAUGUCUCGGCUCACUGGAUCGGUUUCCCAACAAAGAGCCGAGUCAUUUCCACCAAACUGGAAACCUAAAUGGGUCAAACUCAAAUUCUUCUCCCCUCGUUUCAAUCCGAGUUGAGAAACUAUGUCACCCAAACUGAGCUGAAGCAAAAUAUCAGCAGGCACAAACUAUCACAAUGUGAUAACAUAAUGAAGCGCAGUGAUGUAGACAAUUGGAAAUGGUCCUUUCCAGAUAACAAGAAUCCAAACGCAAAGCUUGGCGGGGCCCGGGAAAUAAAUCCAAAAACACUGAGUUAAAUUGGAGAAAUGAGUGAGGAAAAGGGAUUGUUAUACUCUAGAAAUUGCACAUUACAAAUACAUUGAGAUGAUUUGUUGUCAGGAUGAGCAUUGUAUCUCUUCUUGAUGGAAAUUAGGUCUUUAAUAAGAGGAAUACUGAGCGAAAUGGCUCUGCCUCUGCACAUAAGAGGAAAUCUGCCCAUUUAGCCGAGCGUAAAGUGAGACACACUCCAUCCAAAGUGAGAAAAGGUUUGUUUUCCCAAAAGAGAGAAUAAAAGAAGUGAAAACAUGUUUGUCUCCCAAUCGUGGGGUGAAUUCAGCUGAUUAAAACUUGUCGUUUCUACUUGAUUUCACCAUAUUUUAAUUACUGUGAUCAUGUGUUUCUCAAGGAUUGUGUUGACGAAAAUAUCUUAAAUGUGUCCGGGUGUGUAAAGGCCCCACAGCUGCACUGUCUUUGUGAUCACGCUCAAUCAAAAUCUGAUGACUGACUGAAUAUCGGCCUUUGACGGCCUUGUGUUUUAUUUUGGCGAAGGAAUUAAAACUUAAUUCAGGCAGCGGAGAAUUCAUCUGAAAGCACACUCUGAAAGCGCGGGGCGAAAAAACGAACCCAAAAAGCGCUGCAGAGAGAAAGGCGAUAGUUGGGAUUAAUUGUGCGUAAAUUUGCUUCCGCCAAAUUUGUGAGCGCCUCCGACGGAUGAAUAAUGUGUGAUGUUCACAGCUUAAUUAUAUAUAGAGAGCAUUACGAUCUGGCUGCCAGCAUGAUCCAGCGGGAGAGGAGUAUGUUCUUUACCACAGCUGCCAUGCUUUCAUUCAAUCUGACAGCUGUCAUAGAAAAUCCAAUAUAAUAAAAUGUUUAAUCAGUCUGCAAAAUAUGAACACGUCGUCUGGAUAUGUCUCUGUGCGGUAUCCCUUAAAUUUAUUCACAUUUUUAUGUCUGUAUUUUUGAGAGGAGGUCUCCGAAGGCAUACUAACACUCGAGUGAAACUGUUUUUCAGAAGAAGCAGACACAAACUGGGAAAUUUACCACCAAUAAUACAAACUGAAUUCUAAAUAAAUGAGAAACUGUGCAAAACGGUAUUACAAACUGAAUUCUAAUGGUGUGAGAAUCAAUUUGCAUCAACAUAUCAUCAAGAGUGUUGGUGUUUAAAGGGAUAUUCCAGCGUAAAAUUAAUUUAGGGUCAAAUACGCCGUAACACUGAGUUAGACACCCCCUCGAGAGAUGAAUGUUGCAGACCGCUUGCUUCUCUAGUUAUACCAACUUUAGUAACGACGACACGAUAGCAAUACACAGUGAUCUGAGGAGUCAUAAACAAACAUCAACCAAAACGCCACUCUGUAGACACAAAUAAUGCUCAGAACAGCACCUAACUUCAUCAACAGGACAGAUAGGGUCCCAGACAUAGCACUAGACACCAAACAUCUUUUUAACUUUGACUAAUUUCUUUAGCAAAGAGACUAAACACAACUCACCUACUCUCUUCCAGCAGCCACUUGUUUGUAGUGAGACCUCAUGGGGUGACGCAGCUCAAGGAAGAACAUUUGUGAUCAUUUCUUUAUCAUUUCCUUGAAGUAAUAAUCAUCAUAUUAAUCAUUUUACACUGCAGACACAGUCGUUCUUCUGCCUUAGCGUCUCGGUCUGAUUGUAUUUCCAUGAGGAAAUGAUCAUAAAUGUUCUUCCUUGAGCUGCGGCACCCCGCUGCAGUAGAUGGACUUGCCCUGGAGGUCCCUGUACAAACAAGCGGCUGCUGGAAGAGAGUAGGUGAGUUGUGUUUAGUCUCUUUGCUAAAGAAAUAAGGCAAAGUUUAAAAGAUGUUUGGUGUCUAGUACUAUGGCUGGGACCCUAUAUGUCCUGUUGAUGAAGUUAGGUGCUGUUCUGAACAUUAUUUGUGGCUAUAGAGUGGCGUUUUGGUUGAUGUUUGUUUAUGGCUCCUCAGAUCGCUGUGUAUUGCUAUCCUGCGGUCGUUACUAAAGUUGGUAUAACUAGAGAAGCAAGCGGUCGGCAACAUUUAUCUCUCGAGGGGGUGUCUAACUUGGUGUCACGGUGUGUUUAACCCUAAAUUAAUUUUACGCCUGAAUAUCCCUUUAACUUUGACACUGUGGUCCCUCUCCUCUUUGGAGUGGGAGGAUGCAGCGUCUAUGAAUUUGUACCAACAUAGGAUAGAUUUUUCGCUUUGGUUCAGUCCAUGAAUUCCUGGAUCUAAAUCUGGAUGCUUUCUACAUAAGGAGAGAUUUUCAUCUGACCUCAGAUCAUAAUUUCCAAAAAGAAAUACCAAUUUUUAAAUGAUGAAACUACAUUUCCUCUCUGGCCCUGAGAAGUCUCUGGCAUACCUUGUAGUUUCCUCUGUGCGGUUGUAACCAACGUUUGUGGAUGCAAAGACAAACAGUCGCUUUUAGAAGUGAUUUGCACCAAUGCAGGGAUUUCUACUACAGAGUCAUGUCUGUUUUUUAAUACAGUUCCUCCGUCAGAAUGUUUCUUCAGCUUCUGUUAUGAAAAGAUGAUAAAAUUCCCCAAAUUCUUUGCAACUCCAUGUCAGUUUUGUUGAAAUAUUUGCUCAUGUCGUCUCUCGUUCCUCUGAAUGUUUAUUAAACAUUACACAGCUCUUCGUUUUCUUGUCCCUAUCCUGACAUGAAACUAGAUCAACAUUUUAGACUUCAUAUAGACCAAGCUCACGCACUCCAAAGUCCCCAAAGCACCCCUCUAGCACCCCAGGAAGGCUCUGACAUGAGGUUAAAAUGAGGACAGGCUGUUUUGGACGUGUGUGAGAAUGUACACCCACAAGAGCUCCAGGUGUAACCCACACCAAGUUCAGCCACUCCAUGGCAACACUCCUUUAUUGCAAUCCUCCGAGUACUUUGGUGUCUGUAAAAACGCCAUUAUCCCAAACAGACAUAAGAGGGUAAUUUACCAACAAAAGUAAGGCUGCGAGUGUUGUAUAAAGAUAGUUUUUAUAGUCCUGCAACACUGACACUGCGUUUACAAAAACAGGGGACAUAGAGACAAACAACGCAAACCAUUUAAAGCCCAUAAAACUGACAAUAAAAUAAAAUGAGUCUUAUAACUAGGAGUCGACGAAUGCUGACCGUUAAUAAACUUUUAUGUCUGCUUAUGCAAUCAAAAUGUUAAUUCACAGUGAACAAAAGAGGCGAAUGCUUUUCUUCUGUUCUUUAAAGAAAGACGGAGAUAAAAAAAAUUAUUGCCCUGCAGGGUGGAAUAAAGGCAGAAAAAGUUGUUUUAAGGUUGAAUUCCAGUUUUAGAAGCAGCAGCAGUGUCCCUCAUCAGCAAUGCUUCCUUCUGAAAUUGAACACCUGCUGCUAAAAAGAGAGGCAGCGGAAACCCUCAAAUCACAAGUUCUGAUCAAACGCAGGGUGGAGCCGACGCACUCAGAUGAAACUAUUUCUCCUGCCUAAUAAAGGAAACAAAGUCUCACUCCUUGUUCUACUUUAAGUGAUUUAGAAAGAAACGUGCCCAUUUUUCCAGAGAGGGAGUGUCAGGCCUGCUUACUGUCAUUUGGAAUGACCUUGUCACUCGCACUUGGCAGAUCUUUGAAUUACAUCCCACUGCUCCCCCCCUAAUGCUAUCAUUACCAUUAUUAAUGGGACAUGACACAAGUCAUUGCCACACAUAACACUCUCCCACAGCCGAGGAGUAAUGGCUUCCCUCUGAUGUAAUGCCGCCGCUUUCUUAGUUAGUGUGACAGGGAGUCAAAUAUUGAGAGUGCAAUACUUGUGCUGCAGACUUAAUGCAAGAGUCGUACAGAGGACUUCUCACACAGGCAAUAAAAUCCAAUUUCAUCUGUGGGUGUGUGGUUGUGAAUUAAAUGCCCCCAUCUGUAAUUUGUUCCAAACACUCCAGCUUUACCAAUAUUAGCCGGACACUGAUUGAAAAGGUGCCGCUGUCCGUGGUGCUGAAAUUCAUCUGUGGCUUUGCAGGCUGCGGCACUGCGGUCAAUAUCUCUGCAGGGCAUGUUUUGUCCCACUGUAAAUCAUUCCUGAUUACAUGUAAAUUAUGCAGCAGGUCCAAUAUUAAAUGGCUCUUUAUACAUGAAGUGGAAUCAAUCAUAAAAACAAUACCUAAUAGCUCUAUUUAAAUCACCCGCUGUGACUGCUGUGCAACUUUGUUUUAGGUCUGCUUCAGCGACUGUCCAUUAAAGGCUGCAAUUUCCUCAUUUUCAUUUAUAGACACGUAAAUAGGUUGAAAUGGAAAAAAAAGAAAAAAGCUCUAUUAACAUUCAAUAAGGUUUCCAUUAUUUGUAUUCAAGAAGCAAUUUAAAAGUGUUUUAUUGUUUGUUACAAAUGCCAGAAAAAAUUUAAAUUCUACUGAAUAAUUUUGAUUAUUAAUUCAACUUCACCGAGAACAACAGAGUGAAAAAUAGCCCGCAUUAACCUAUGAAGUAAAAAGUUGAACAAUGUUUGCAAGAUUUUUGCAUAAAUCAGACUUUACAGUGUCAUGUGGUGUUGUGUCAUUCGCGAACGAUUCGUUCAAAAGAACCGAAUCCUUUAAGUGAAAGUACUGAACCGAAUCACUUCCUCGAGUUAUUAGUUUGUUUCUCACUUCAGUUGAGCUGAAGUGAGAAACAGCAUCGCCAGGCCAACGAGGGACCACAUGUACCGACGCCUGAAUCACUUGUUGAACGAAUCACGCAUUGAACUACACUCUCUGGAAUCAUUUUUGUCUGACAAAACUACCUAUUUUUCACUCCUAAAUUGCAACCACAACAACUUGCAUACAAUAGGACACAGCAUGUAACAAGUAGUGCAUAAAACCCGCAGCAUCCUAUCAUUGCAGCGGUUUGCGAGGGAACGGUCCAUGUUCAGUGUGAAUUCUUCUAAACUUUCAGUGAACGAAUCACUCACUGAGCCCAAUUUACCGAGCAGACCUGAUAAAUAGCAUACCAUAGGACAGUACACUUAAAACGAAUCUUUUUAGUGAACUGAUUCUGGUGAUUCAGUACAUUGAAAAGAACUGCAGGGCCCAACACUAGUGUUGUAUCCUGGCUCACAACAUAGAACAAAAAUAAAGCAAACACAACAAAAUGGUGCAAAUUUAAAUCACAGAAGAGUGCUGCUGGAUGAGUGUGAGAUAUGUGGGCGUUUUAUGUGGUGUAAAUGAACUAUAAAGAUGGUCAAAGCCAACUAAACAAAAACCGUGUUGUGUUGGAUGUCCCGGCAAAGAUGAGAGAGAGACAGAAGGAGUGGGUCAACUACCUGAUCUUAUAAAAACCCGGGGGACUGGAAAGAUAUUCCCGACUGCUGCAAACCCAGCCCAACAGCGACCAUCUGGAGGACAAACACAAAGCCGUAAUAAAAGGACCAAAACAAAACAAAACAAAACAGAGCAGAUCCCAGGAGGGAGGCUCCACAAGGCCAGACUGACUGCCAGGUUCAAUACAUCCAUGCAACCAUCCAUCGAACAAUAUAACAAUGCAACCGAACCUCCAUUCAUGGAUCCAUCAACCAUUUAUGCAACCAUACAUGCAAUCACUCAUGCAUACAUUUGUCCAUUCAUGCAGCCAUUAAAGGGAUAUUCCAACGUAUAAUGAAGCUAGGGUCAAACACACCGCAACUUUAGUAAUGACCACACGACAGCAAUACAGAGAGCCACGCGCUCAACCAAAACGUCACUCUAUAACCACAAAUAAUGCUCAGAACAGCACCUAACUUCAUCAACAGUACAUAUAGGGUCCCAGCCAUAGUACUAGACACCAAACAUCUUUUUAACUUUGACUCAUUUCUUUAGCAAAGUGACUAAACACAACUCACCCUCUCUCUUCCAGCAGCCGCUUGUUUGUAUGGAGAUCUCUGGGCGAGUCCAUCGACUGCAGCAGGGUGACGCAGCUCAAGGAAGAACAUUUAUGAUCAUUUCCUCGUGGAAAUGCAAUCAGACCGAGACGCUAAGGCAGAAGAACUACUGUGUCUACAGUGCAAAUUAAAUAAUAUGGUCUCCGUACAAACAAGUGGCUGCUGGAACAGAGUAGGUGAGUUGUGUUUAGUCUCUUUGCUAAAGAAAUGAGUCAAAGUUAAAAAGAUGUUUGGUGGCUAGUGCUAUGUCUGUGACCCUAUAUGUCCUGUUGAUGAAGUUAGGUGCUGUUCUGAGCAUUAUUUGUGACUAUAGAGUGGCGUUUUGGUUGAGCACGUGCCUCUCUGUAUUGCUAUCCUGCGGUCGUUAAUAAAGUUGGAAUAACUAGAGAAGCAAGAGGUCGGCAACAUUCAUCUCUCGACGGGGUGUCUAACUCGGUGUUACAGUGUGUUUGACCCUGACUUCAUUUCACGCCUGAAUAUCCCUUUAAUGUAACUCUGUAUGCAUCCAUUCAUUCCCUUCCACUUAUUUGAUAUUGGGUUGAGGCUGCAGUAUGUUACGCAAGGGGACCCUGACAUCCCCUUCCUAUCUACAUUUUCCAGCUUCUCUUUGGUUAUUCCACGGUCUUACCGCCCCAGAUGGACUGUCUUACCUCUCAGCAAGUUUUGGGUCUACCUUCAGGUCUCCUUCCAGUCCCAUGUCUCUGAAAAACCUCUCUGAGGAAGCAUUUGCGUAUUACUGGGCUCCAGGAUAUAUUCAAAAUAGCUGUUUUCGUACCCUUGAAUGACCAUAUCAGAACAGUGAGUCUGGUUGCAUAUGGUUCAGUUAGCUUUUUUAGCAGUAUCUAUUACAUAACUAGAUAAGAGCCUCUCACAGUAGCUUUAACAACAGGACUCUUCAACCUACUUCUGUGGCCAUUGUCUUUUUUUUUUUUAGCAACUUUUGAAGAGUGUUACUUUAAUGAGCUUUGUUUGUGUUUGUUUCUAAUAUUUCUGCUCGUUAAACAGCACCAACAAAGUGGAGAUCCAGCUUUCAAACUGGGACGAGGGUUUGCUCUACUUCUUGUUUCCAAUUAUAAAUAAUGUUGGGUUUUGAGCAAACAUGUUUCCACAUGCAUUGAGGUUUCUUUUGUCAGUUUUUGCUCUUCUCUAUCAUCCUGUCACAGUUAAAGGAUGACUCAGCUAACUGCCAGAUGUGAGGACGGCACUGUCCCUCUUUUGUUCCUCCCGAAGAAGACCUCUGCAUUCGUAGCCUCAUUAUACGUCUUAAUGACUCCACUGCAGCUAUCUCUGCGAAGGCGUGCUAAAGGUCAGAUCAGCAUCUUAAUGCGCCGUCCUCCUGCCUUCUGACCCACGUGCAAACCUCGGUCACUCAGAUCAGACAUGUUCGGUAGCCUGUAGAACAUAUCAGUCGAUCCUAAUGAAAUCACAGAUCCUUUGAUUCAACUUUGACAUUUAGUUUGAGCACCCGUUGCAAAGAUCACUACUGGCAAAUGAGCUUCUCAUCUUCAAGCUUUGUCAUGUUCCUGGUGUGAAUGCUGCAGUCGUCAUGCAGAUUUAAAGAAGUCUAGAUGGAGAGACAGAGUUUGACAGAAUUCGUAGGUCUUCUUGGACUGAAAGGGUCUCAGACUGAAAUCUUCCGGUGUUUCUUGCCUUUAAAAGUUCCCCACAGUAUCGAUAAAUUCUUAGACGCUAUAUGAAAUGAAAAUGGAAAUGAAAUGCAAAGCCACUCAAGGUUUCAGCAGGUUUUCAUCAGCUGGCAUCAGGUCAGAUGGCUGUAUUAGAUCUGCGCUCUACCAAAUGGGGUUCUGACUGGAUCAUUGCUCGCUCCCUUUGGUCUCUAAUGGAUGAAUUACAUUGCUUUCAUGACUUCCAGAUCUAUUUCUCUGAGUCUCUCUGAGAAUAAUUGGUGGAGUUCUGAACUUUCCGGGUGUUUACAUAAAAAGCUUUUGUAUUAUUUAUAAUCGGAGGCUAAAUCACACAGGCAUGCACACACACAGUUUAGUAGUUGAAUUACUCUCUGUCGGCUUGUCGCCCAGCCGGGGUUUCAGACUCAGUAAAAUAAGGAAUGGAGCUUCCUUUCCUUACCUCAGAGCCUCGCUGCCACUCCAGCACAGUAAUUACCUCGUCCUUCUUUACUGCUAAUGAGAAGGUAAAAUAUGAGCUUCUGGCAACUGCAGUCAUUUGCGACCCUGGCUCGCUCCUGGCAGGAGUGGAGAGGGAGAAGGAGAGAGACUAAUUUCUACCCAGAAGCCACCUCUGAAUGGUGCCAUCCAUCCUUAACCCACCUGUACAAGUUAUCCAGGGUUACCCCAGGUCUGUGUCUGGAUAAUGUUACACUGAGUUGGAUGAGCAGUUUGCUGGAGUGAGCACUUUCUUGGGUAAAUGAAAACAGUCAGACUCUUGAUACUUCCCGACAAACUAUAGCCUCUUAGAAAAGAUCAUAGAGUGGGUGUUCUGGGUUAGGUUUUCAUUACUGUAGUACUGUGAUAUAGAAAGUACUAGUGUUACAUCAAUCACUGCCUUUUGAACCUGUCUGCUAAGGCUUGCAGUUUGGUGUCAUGGUGUUUGGGACUGGUGAUUCGUUUUAGACACUGUACACUCUAAAAACUCUUGGGUUAUUUCUUCAACCCAAUUCCUGGGUUAUAUGUGUUGAGUUAAAUUUCUUGGUUAUUUUUCAGAUCCAUACCCAUUUCGCGGGUCAUAUGGAUUCUAUCGUAACCCAAUUUGAGCGUUUUUUAAAUGGGUUAAUAAUUAUGGGUUAUUUUUCUGAAAGUAACCCAAUGAUUGGGUCAGAACGCUGGGUUCAAUGGACUCUACGUGGUUCCUAGGCCUAAUGGCAAUUAAAGUGACCUUGUGAAAUUUGACCUUGAUUUGGGGUUGGAAUCCCUCAUGAGACACAUCUGUAAGGAGCAAACUACAUCCACCAGUUUGGGUCCUUAGGUAAGACCCUUAACGCUAUGGCCUACAACCAGAUAGAUAAAAGUACAUGGGAAAAUAUGGUACAGGUUGUAAAAGCUAAGCUCCCCAAAUGCAUCUAUCAAUCUAUCCCAAGAUCAUGAGUCAAAUUAACUUAAACAUUUAAACAUUGGGUUAACUUGACUCUUAAAAAGGGUUAUUGAGUCAACCCAAAAUUUGGGUUAAUUUGAUUAACCCAACAUUCUGGGUCAAAAUAACCCAACAAGUAGUUGGUCCUUUUUCAACCCUGGUGUUAACCCAGGGGUUUUUAGAGUGUAACAUCAACUAUAAGCUUUUGAACCCACUUAAGAGUUUUUGAGUGUUGAUGGUGAUCACUUUGAGGUCAACCUUAAGUUUUUUUAAACCCUCCUCUCAAGAUAAGACAUUGGUUUUUUGGUGUUUUGUUGAUAGAGAUUGAGUUGUCAACAUUUUGCUUUUGAACCCUUAAAGCGUCUUUGGUGGUAUUUUGGGUGGUACUGUGGUAGAAGUCAGUUUUGCAUCAACCAGCUGUUAAACUGACCUGGAGUUUGGUAACUUAGACUCAACGUCUUUAGUCUGGUGGUAGCUAUCUCAAGGUCAAAUCUGAGCCUUUGAACUUUCUUCUUAAAACCUGGAGUAAAUGAGUUUAAUUUUGGUGAUUUAAGUUAGCUUUUGAACGCCCCAUUUGAAGUCUGUAGUUGGUGGUUUUUGAGAUGCUCCUAAAGUUUGCAUCAUUAGCUUUUAAAUGUGUUCAGGAGCUUGAUACUGGUUGGUUUUGGUGGUGUGUUUCAUUCGCUUCCUCCUCCUCUGCUUUUAAACCCAUCUUUUUUUGGGGGGUGAAAGCAACUCUAGCUUUGUUCUGGACUUUUGAGCCUCCCUUUUUGAAGCUUUAAGUUCGGCAUUGUUGCAUUUCAGAGGUAUUUUGGCGGUAACUUGUCAACGGCCAAUUAUUCACUUUUUAAACUUCCUGUUUCAAAGCUUGGUGUGCGUUCUUUUGGUGUUGUUACAGUGGUAGCAGCAUUGAUCUGAACCCUUUAAUUAUAGCUGUAUGACUGGCUUUUUUGGCAUCAACCAUUAGCUUUUGAAUCUCAUAUUUAAAGCUCAGUGUUUGGUAGUUCUGUGGUUGUGUUUAGAACCAUAGUUGGCCAUUUCUGAUCCCUGAUUAUUGUUUUAUUUCAGAUUACAGGCCACCCGAGUUCCAAUUUGCUAAUUAAAACUGUAUACAAACACCAAGCUUGUUAUUUUACUGUAAAUUGUACCAUUUAUUACAAAGUGACAAUAAUCCUGCUUUGUCAGAACAAAUCUUGAUUGAUUUUUUUCAAUAGUUGGGAAAUUAGAACCAUUUUCUGGUCUGGUUUAGACAAUUUUGUCUUCCUUUCUGCUGGCUGUUAUAAAUAAUGCAGAUUUGAAGCACUUGUGUGUGGUCCUCAGUUUGAAAAACAGAGGUGAUAUGCUGAGUUAUGAUUUCAAAGUGAACUUUAACUCUUCUUUAGUGACUCACAACAUUAGGAUCCCUCUCAUGACCUUCUUCUGUGAUCUUUCCUUCACUUCCAUGCCCACAUGCUAACACAAAAAAGUCAGACUCUUUUAAGGGUGUAAUAAAACUCAGCGUGAUUUAAGAGCUAUGCUAGAUGACCCCAAUGUGUGAAUUUGACAGAAAUGUGAUCUCUCAAAGGCACCUUUCACCUCCUAUCAGCAACAAAACAUGAACAUUCAAACACCAUCAAAAUGAAAUGCACGCUUUAUGGGCCUGUAAGACUCUUUAUUCACCAGGCGAUCUAUAUUUCCAUGUCAUCGCCGCUCUCCUCUAUUCCAUUAUCAUUUUUUAUCUGAUAGGAAACAAAUCAAGGGUUUCCCAGUGUCAGGAACAAAAGCCAUUUUUGUGUUGAAGGUUAUAGAAAAGCAUCGUCACGUAAGGGAAAUGAUUAUAUUGGUGCCCUUCGGAUAGACUCCAAUGUCACACAUGAGGAGACAAAGAAUUUCAUCACACAGGCUGAGCUUUUUUGCUUUUUUUUUUUGACAGCAAUCAGAUCCAUUUUAUUCUCUUUGUGGGGCUUCGUAUUUGCUAUAAAAUCUUAGAGAUUGACUCCAAAACCUUACCACAGGGGUGAAAAAAUCCUAUUAGAUUGAAAACAGCAAGAGACGUAAAAAAAAAAAGAGAAAAAAAUCGUAUUAGCAAUAAUAACAGAUUGCAGAAUUCACUGCGUCUGGGAUGACUAUUUUAGUGAAAAUGAUACAGCCAGGGUAUGAGAAAUUAAACCCAUUUCAGAGGGUGGUGUCAAUGCUGAUGUUUACUGGUUUUACAGACACUUCCAUUAGAAAACCAUUAGCAAGGCGAUUACUAUGAUUAACUCAAAAUUGACCCACUGCGUCCAUUCACUAAUCCCACUGACCAUAAUGCAAUGCAGUUACCAUAUGACUCGUUUCGGAGCAUUUAAGUGGAUGAACUUUGCACCCCGGUCCUGCUGGAGUUAUCGGGGGGGAUUAACUGGGGUUAGAAACCAAAGAUUGGAAGAUGUACCAUGUCAAUACGAUGUUAUUGCAAUAAAACUGAUUGGCCUGACCUCUGCGCUUCGACAAGAGGAGCUUCGUUCAGCCGGGGCAAUUACAGCCAGAUAACAGGCGGCUGAAUGAAAAUGUUACAGGAGCUCUCUCAGCUGUUAUCAGUCUUAAUUUAGGCAGACUUUUGGGUCAUGGUUCACCUUUAAGAGGUCAAGAAAUCAAAAUCUAUUAAUUCUACACAAUAAUAAUAAUAAUAAUGUAGAAAAUUUUGUAAAAUAUUACCUGAUUUCAACUGAUUACAAGCAAACCCAAUUGUGUUGCUAUAAAUCUCUAAGUUCUGUAAAACUGAUUUUUUUUUUUUUUUUCUUGUCUGCACAAGAUAAAAUCUUGAAAUUAUUUGUCUCGGUGCAAAGAUUCAGCAAUAACAUCGAAAACAGUAUUUGCUCAAAUAAAACUAGAAAAUUCUUGUGAUAAAUGGCGUCAAAUUGAAAACGGAUGGCCAACAAGAUAACUAUCUUGUGAACACAGGAUGAUAAUUUGUUUUGCACAGUAGUUAGACUUGCAUUUGAGCUGAUAAUCUCCUCCCAUUGAAUAAUUUUCUUAUCUGCAAUAGAUGUUUUUACCUUAAUAAUGUUAUCUUGCAAAAUUGCAUUCAAAAUCAUCCAACAUGAUGAUUGUCUUGUGUGAACAAGCUAACUUGUUCCAUUUACGUAUCCAUCUUUUCUACAUAAUACGAUGACUUUUCCCACAAGUUAUUCCGUGAUCCAACUGAUCUGUGCUCACAAGAUAAAAAAUAGUCUUUAUGUGAUCAUUUUCUUUUGUGCACAGGAUAACUUAUGGUGGGUUCCAGUUACCUCUGUCGUUGGAUGUCAGGGAACGGGAAUGGGAAUGACGCUGCACCCGAGUUGACGGCGUUCCAGUUAACAAGUGGGUAAACCAAGAUGGAUGCAAACAGUUAGCGGUUGUUAGCUGUUGGUUACAAUUGUCAGCUGUUGUUGGCUGAUGUCAGUUGUUAUUGAUACCAGUUGUAAACAACGCAUAACACAGUAUUUUACUCUUACAAACACCAUAUCAAUCAUAUGGGCAGUACAACAUAAACCACGUAUUCAAUUUCCCAAAAACAAAACAAAAGUGCUAAUAAAUAAUACAUUAUGAGAGCUUUUACUGUUACUCUUUGCUGUUGAUGCACUGUGCUGCCAUCUUGAAUUAUGACGUUGUCGUCAAGUCAGGGUUGGUGAGGAUUGUCCAACUUUCUGAAUUGGAAAUCCGACUUCAAGGGGACAUUCCAGAUGAAUUUCCAACUCGGAGCUCGGAAAUCCCAAUGAGUACAACUGGAACGCAAGGUUAUUCCUGAAGAUAGUUCUGAUGUGUGCCCAAGAUGAUAACCUGUUCCAACAAGACAACGAUCUUUGAUAUUGGCAUUUCAGUAUUCUACUUUAGCCUAGAGGCACCAGAGGAAUCCAUCAUGUUUUCUGGUGGUUGAAUUUAGCAUCAGUUUCCAGCUAGUAUCAUGCAACAUUGUUUGCUAAUGUUUGUCAAAGUCUUACAGUGACAAAUUUCUGAACAUUUGUUAUAAAUUCUGCAGCUUAAUUUCUUUAUUUGUAGGAUUUUGAGAUUGUAUUUGACAUGUUUCCAGUAGGUCUGGAUGAAGUGGUGAAUGUUUUCCUCACAACAGCUGUUCCAUGAGGAGAUUUUUGGGGAUUAUGUUGUUAAUGCCACAACAGACACCAUAUAAAUCCUCAGAAACACACUUGAUGUUGAAACUGGUAAAUGUACAGCAUUAAUGCAUUUUUACACUUAAUACAGCAGCAAAAAGCCACCAACUCAGCCCUGUUCGAUUCCUCCCACUUUACCUCAGUAUUGCUUAUAACUUUAACUCCAAAUGCAGAUUUCUUGAGUCAAUUAGAGAAACACUAAAGGAUAAAAGGCUACAACUCAGAGAGGCACUUGCACUUAAUUGAUCGUUGUCUGAACAAUGCCAACGCACAGUGAUGUACAAGCUUCUGUUUAAUUACAAGCAUUGUGGAGGCGGGAUUGUAUCAGAGUUCAUGGAGAUUUACUUAAUUUAAAAGGACAUGGCACAUAGAAGCUUGUCUGGGAGAGAAACAAGAUGUGAAAAUCUGCAAAUACCUGGAGAAAACGACCAAGUGACCUGGCAACACUAAUUCUAAAGAUUCUGAGAAUGUGUCCAAGUCAGGCGAGACAAGCACAGUUAAAACGCCAGCAAACAAUUUGGUAGAAGUUUUGGCGCUGUGGGCAGGUGCAAAGUUCUGUUGAUAAAGGAAACAAGCAUCUCUGUGAAGCUUGGCUGCAAUUUGCAUUUCUGUACCACAUCCUGCAGUGAGUCCAACCAUGGAGCCAGCUUUUUACCACUUUCGAACUUCAGCCGUUGCCUUGGGUGGGAUGUAUACAAGUAUUGGUAUAAUAUGACAUGUAUGUCUUUUAACGUAAAUUCUUACAUGCAAAUGGGAUCUGGUUCCACUCUGAGCCAAGCCGAUGACAAAUCAUCACCAUGGACGACCAAUUACUUGUUUAAAAGGGUGCCUCUACAAGACUGUAUUGAAAACAGCAUAUUGUUAGGUAGGCGGGGAACACUUUGAAAUGCUUUAAGUGCAUAUAGGUUUUCAAAAGCAGAGGAAAAUAAGGUUUCAGCUCUUUAUAGCAAAGUGGCUUUUUCAUGCAACUGGAAUAAUAGCUUGGUCAAACAGAGGUGGCGUUCUGGUUCAGCCUAAAAGACAUCCUCAGGCUGCAUCUUGAGGGACUAAAACUUCAGGUUCAGGUGCGCUAAAGCUGGAAAAGAGUUAUAUCUGUUCUGAAAGGCCAGGUGAGAAGGUGGGGUUAAAAGUCCAGAACUGAAUAAAGAGCAGCGAUAGAUUUUAAUUCAAGUUUGCAGUCUCUGAGAUCCAGUCAAUUCCUGCAUGAAGUGGGAGCAAAUGUCACUCCGUUGGCUUUGAUUACUGUGCGACAUUUAAAAAGUUAGAAAACACCGUCCUGUUUUGACCAAGCCUCGUUCAGACCAUUACAGGCCGGGAAUGUUUCUUCAUCUGUUGAUUCCAAGCCUGAAGGUCAUGACCAGGACAAGAAAUGUAAAUCUGGUGGUCGUUUAUUGGUAGAAUACAGUAAAAUAGGGCAAAGCUUCACCAAAAUGCUUGAUGAGUGGAUUAAACCGUUCAACCGACCCUUCAGCAAUCAACCAGAGCGCAAAUAUUCAAUAAUUCUGUUGCUUUUUCCUCAAAUCAUGAUUCAGCACAGCACCAUAAGUUUGCACAUCUUGACACUGUACUUAAUCCUCAAUUAAAAUGUAUCAUCAUUCCAGUAUACAUCCGAAUGCAAGAAAGAAAGAAAUUGUUUAGCCCUGGAACAACCCCAGCCUGAUGAAACCUCGGCGCUCCAAAGCAAAGCAGAUCAGAAAAUGACAUCUCCCUAUUCAGAUUGACUGAUUCCUGCCGAGGCUUGCGCGCAGAAAGCGCACGCUCCGGGCUGCUCAUACAGAAGGCUAACCACACGUAGAUAAGGCCGAACCCGACUGGUGACACGCCUGGCUUGGAAAAGGGGAGGAAGAAAGCAAAUCACUCAGGACAAUCUAUUCCCUCCGCUGCCAGUCACUUCACUGCCGUCAAUUCAAUACCGGCUGCUCCAGAGCGACACAGUGGCCUCUGAAUACCAUUUCCAUAUCAUUAUUCCUACAUAAAUGGCAGACCGCUUGCUGUUUCAUCAACCUUUUGGACCACAUGCUGGUAAAUAAAUAAACAAAGUUCUCAGGUGUAUAUAUGGAAAGGGUGAGGAGAAGCUAAUGGGAUGGAGAGGCCCGCAAAUAGGGACCAGGAAGUGCUUUGUAGCUGUGGCUGGCUUUAUUGUCGGACGGGUUGACCCCCAGUUGAAUGAACAUUUGUCAUUGGGGAAGGGGGGGCGGUUUUCUCUUUGUAGGUUUGCGCAGGUGGACGGACUAAAUGGGUGCAAAAAUGCAAUUCUCUUGGGGGAAUGAGGGUCUUUUCAAGUCCAGGACUGGCAUGUUUGUCUUGUUUAUUAAAAGAUAAAUAUUAUAGAAAAUGAGUGUUUGUGCACUAAACAACCAUGAGUGGAACAGUUGCUGUGGUUACCAAUAAGACUUUUCUUGUUGGUCCAUGCCCAGAAUGAAAAAAUGCCCCAUCUAUAGCUCGUUGUACACUUCAGCUAUUGUACAAGCAGCUAUGUAAUCUACUAGGAAUAAACAACAACCUGAACCUGAACGACCUGGAAAUAUUUUGUUUUAUAAAUGUUCCGUUUUUUAGUAAAGUUAAAGCUCCUGUGUGGAACUUUCAGACAGAUGCCCCCUGUGGCCACUUUUGUCCUCUACCUCCUUAAAUUGCAUCUUGACAAAAAAAAAAAAAGAUCCAAAUUACUGGCUUCUAAAAGUCAAAUGUGAAUGUUUUAUGUGGGAUUUAUAAAUAAAUAAAUAAUAAAAAAAAAAAGGGGUUGCUCAACACCUGCCCCCUUACACCGCUUUCAGGUAUUAAAAAUUGUGACUUAAAUUUCGUCAGUCUUGUCACUGAUGGUGUUGUUUGCUUUCAUUUAUCAUAAAAAGGCAUUAUUUAGAAUUUUAGUCAAUUUCUCAAAUGUCAAAAACAAAAAAAAAACAAACAAACAAAAAAAAAAAAACAGGGCUCGGUCAACACCUGCCCCCUUUACACUAGUUUCAGGCAUUGAAAAUUAUGCCCCCUGUGGCCAAUCUUGUCCUCUGCAUCGUUAAAAUGGCAUCUUGACAAAAAAUAAAUAAAUUAACUGGCUUUUAAAAGUGAAAUGUGAAUGUUUUAUGUGGGAUUUAAAAAACAAAACAAAAACAAAAAAAUACAAUAAUAAUAAUAUUAAUAAUGAUAAUAAUAAUAAUAAUAAUAAUAAUAAUAAUAAUAAUAAUAAUAAAAAGGGCUUGGUCGACACCUGCCCCCCUUACACUGCUUUCAGGCAUUAAAAAUUCUGACUUAAAUUUCGUCGGUCUUGUCACUGUUGGUGUUACAGCUGUAGCUGUAAACCAAAAUAAAGGAAGUGUUCUUCAAUUGAGCUGUUUUCUGCUACAGUUAAAGCCCCAGUGCUGUUCUCAUUUCAAAAGGUCCUGAACCACUGGUUUAGACACGACCCAUCCCCCAGCUCUCCAAGCUUCCAGUGUGAGGCUUACUAACUAAUGGCCACAAGUUAACAUCUGUCCAUCAGGGAGAGUUUCCAGAGGAGUUAAAAACAGUCCUGGAUCUAUUACAGAUGAACUGCAGUGCCGACUGUAAUUAUAUCACAGUUCCAUUUGGCGUGUCUCUAAGCACGUCUUAUUAUUCUUGGUAUUAAAUAUUACAGUAUUUCUAUCAGAAGUUUGGACUGUGAUAAAGUUCCUGAGCCUUAAACACAAAGUUCACUUUCAAAAGUCUGCCCCUUAUCAAGACCAGCGUCUUUCUGCUGCAGCCGCCCUCCCGCUGUGAAGUUAAAAGCAUUCACAUUUCACCGCCACGCUGGUGUGACAGAUGCUUUUAUCAACCUAAAUGCUCUUUUCGGUGUCUUAACAUAUAAUUUGAGAAUAAACCGCCACUCUCGUCUGUCAUUCAUGGCGGACGCUUGUAACAACAUAGUCCCACAACUCGGCCCCUUUAAUUAGACCGGAGCCGGCGAAGAAGUCUGUGUGGGAGACGUUUUACAUGGAGGUUAUAUUUUUUUCUUUUUCAGCACAGCAAGACAUUAAGUUUUUUUUGAAUCACCCGAGUUGACCUGCCGCCUGCCAAAUUGAAUUUUUAAGUUCAAAAGCACAGGGGAAUUUGUACUCAUGGUGACUAAAGUUAAAAAAUGUAUCUUUUGUGCUUCACUCUUUUGGUGCUUCUGUGAUACAAAGGUUAGAGUUCUUGAGAUAAAAGUAGUAAAAAUCAAAGCUUUUAAUGCAUGUCUCAUUUGCUUUAAAAGUGUGACUUGACUUUGUUGCUUUUGCAGCUUGUUUAACAAGUAAAAAGUCAUAUGCGCUAUGUUUCAAACAUAAAUAAAUACUGACGUUCUUUGAGAUUAAGGGAUUUUAGACAUGCGAUUAAAAUUGCGAUUAAUCGCGAUUAAAUGUCGAAAUUAUGCGAUUAAUUGUGAUAAAAAAUGUCAAAUAUAAACAUCCUCAUCCUUUAAUGCAUGUCUCAUUUGCUAUAAAAUUGUGACUUGGCUCGGUUGCUUUGGCAGCUUGUUUAACAAGUUAGCACAAUGUGUCAAAUAUAAAUAAGAUUAACCAUGGUGGUUAAUCGCGAUUAACCAUCAAAAUUAUGCGAUUAAUUGUGAUAAAAAAUGUAAAAUAUGAACAUCCUCAAAUGAUUAUUUAGAUAUCUAGUUUAAACAUUUUUAUAUACAUUUACAAAAGCCAAAGAUUAAAGUAGUUUUCUCUAUCUAAUGCAGAGACAGGAAGCUGCUUUGACACUCUGCGGGAGCCGCUCACAGCACUCAUACAAACAGCCUCAUACAGAGAUGUGUUUGUCAGCGGCAGACCGUGAAAAGUUCAGCUGUUGUUGAUGUUUUUCUCCUGACAAACUUGUUGAUCGCUCGGUGUUUUCCAGGUACCUUCACCCUGAUUGAAGCUGCUUUCACUCCGGGGACAUGAUGUGAUGCAUGUGAACAUUUUGAGCCCAUUUAGGAACUUCAGCGUCAUUUACCAAUACAUAACCUAAUGUAGAUUAUUCUGAGCCAACGGAGCAGAUAAGUGAUCCGCCGGACUACAGGUUUCUGCGAGGUUAGAUUCAUCACACGACCAAACUGCAACACAGCAAUGUGCUUAGUCAGUAUUAAGGGUAGACGAUAGAUUGUGUUUGUGUAUUGGCAUGAUCUCCCUCUCCAUCAUCAUCUUUACUUUGCUUGUAAACACACACACACACAUACACAACUACACACAAACACCCCCUCAGUAACACUCCAUCCUGGCAGUCAUUAGAGUCCCAUGAGCUCUUUUGCUUGUAGCACCUCAGUCCCGUAGAUCUCUGCUGCCAAUAAUCGUUAUAAUUGAUGAUUUCCUUCUAAGCCUCUAAUGAUGUUUCUAGUAUUUAUGGUUACACAAAGCCAGGCGAGCUGAUUCAUAAUAGUUUCUUCCUGCCGCUUUAUUGGCAUGGCGUUUCUCACAUUCUCAUCACUAAAUUAAUUUUGACCUGGCGAUGCCGUAGAUCACUUUAAACCGCUGCGCGCCGUCUCACUGUGACCAGGUUUUCUUAAGCUGUUGUCGUAAAGAAUGGUUUAUCGACCCUUCCUGCUGACGCUUUAAUAAGUGCUUUGCAUAACAAGUGUUUUACUGCAAGAUAAAUCACAUGGGCUGGCGGCGGGCUGUCAAAUACACAAGUGCACACAUGUGUAGACAUAAAGCAAGGCAGUGCUCAAAAGUGGGCACCGGUAUUUACUGAUUAAACUCUGUUAAAUCUAUAAAAAAGGCAGUGAGAUUUAAAGCUCCUGUAAGGGAUUUUAGUUGAAACAGAGAAACGUGGAUAAAAGUUGUCCUCAUUUAAAUUCAUAGCCAGCAGGACCGAGGGAGGCAUUUUCGCCAUCAUAUUGCAUAAGUCAGGUGCAAAUAUGACUGGACCCCAAAAAAUUCUAACAAAGGUUUCUCACCUGUUUUUCAUUGUAUUAGAUGUCCUUAAUAACAUACUAAAAGUUCACCAAAGUUCGACUGCUAGAAAGGUGUCACUUUCACGAUUGCGUCCAUGAACUUAUUCCACGUCACUGUGGAGUCCGUCUGAGUAUGUUAUUGAGGACAUCUUAUACAAUAAAAAAAAACAGUUGAGAAACCUUUUAUUAGAACUUUUUUGGGGUUAGAUGUUUUUUUUUUCAUAAAUGCACCCGCCUACAUCACCUCUUCUUCAAACGGUGCUCUAUAAAUGUCCGGGAACCAACUAGACCAGUUUCUGGAGUUUCAAAAGUGAAAUGUUGUCCCACUCUUACCUGAAGUAGGAUUUCAGUCGCCCAAUAGUCAUUGUUGUUGUAUGUUUUUGUGCACUUAUACAUCCCAUCAUCCAUCACGGAGGCCGGGUUUUGGACUGUGCGGGCCCUGUACCGAUUUCAAAGGGAGGACGCUCACAGAUGAUGGUUUUUGGGAGUGAUUGUAAGGCCAUGCGGCACUUUCCACUACAGAGUCACGUCUUUUUCAAUGCAGUGUUGCCUGGAGGCUGAAGAUCUGAGGGAAAAAUGUCUGAUUGAUUGUUAUGGACGGAGCUAGGGGACCUUAAUUAAGGCAGGAGCACCAGUGACCCAAACAACAAGAAUAACAACAGGGCAAAAAAAGAGCAACAGGCCUUAUUUAUUAGUUGAAAAAAUGAGAUGACUGAAGAUGAGCUCUCGCCGAGGUGCAUAUUGAUCCGUCGAGAAGAAUGUUAGGCAUAUAUAAUAAAAACACAUCAACUUUCAUCCCUUUAAAUGAUGACCUGCCUGUUGUGAGCAUGCUAGCCAACAGCAGCAGAUCUGUUAGGAACAGGAGGAAUUCAAUCAGGGAGAUCCAUGGACCCGAGCGGAGGCCCCUGAGUGAGAUCGAUGGCCUGAGAGGCAGGUUGCGAAGGGGUCAGCUCCCCUGGUGCGGCGUUUUAUCUCCGUCCUGUUGCCACUCCUGUUUAGGAACGUUGUUGCCGGGGAGGGUGGGGGGGGACUGGAAGCAGUGUUGCAUCCUGGUCCCAGAGGCAGCCCAGGCCUACCACAAUAAUAUCAUUUUAUGUCAGCCAUGAGUGAAAGUUUCCCCAACUUGGGGCGGGCUGAUUGAUGGCUGUUGUAAAUCAGGGCUGAGAGUGCUGCAUGGGGUUUUAUAGUGCGGGGAAAUGAUGCAGGUUGUAUACAACUCUCCUUAACACCUCCACGCUUUAAACCCAGUGACUGUCCAAGAAAUGUGCGCUUUUUAGAGUACUACACCCACCCGAACUGCAGGAAAGAAUUUGCAAUGGUAAACAUUCAAACACUACAAAAUAUCCCUUUGUACAAUAUUAACAUAAUUCGAGUCAUUAUGUCCCAGACUGAAUUACCAACAUGGCAAAUCACACUGCUGCUCUAGGGACCAGAAAGCUCCGGGCACUCUUCAUGUGAAUUAGUUUCUGUAAUAUGAUUGAUUGCUUAUUUGUUAGAGAGUUUGCAGCACUGGAGUACAACUAAUAGAGGCUUGGCACCGGGAGAUCAUUUCGCAGCAGUCUUGUCCAGAGGCCCUGUGUCAGAAUCCAGUUUAAAGGAGCUCCUCUGUUGUAAUUUUUUGUUCAUUUUUUUCGUGUUAGAGGUUUUGUUUUAUCACGCUACCAAAGUAAAGUACAAAUGAACCAGGAGUAAUGAUUGCUCCAGGAAAAAUGGACGUAAUGAAGUAACUAGGAGCUUACGGUUUGCACAGAGGUUGGUAAAUUGGGGUCAGUUUUGGGGGUAAACCUGUACUUUUUUCACUGGGGUAGUCCAAUUACCAUUAAAAUACUUAAUUUAUGCUUCGUGUCUAUAAUUGCUUUUACAGGAAAACAGAGUGGUAGCAUAUGAACCUUAAAAAGUAUCAAAAAUUUGCUCAAUUAGUCAGUUUAAUUGGACCAAUAUCCUCGAGCCCCAGAUGACCUGGUCACACGCCUCCUUUACAGCUUGUUACUGGCCUUUAACCAAAGCAAUCAGGUGUUAAUCUGACUUUGACAUCUUUGACCUAAUGGGAUUUCAUGUAGACUGGCAUGUUGUGUAUAUUCAAGUCUAGUUUCCAUUGGACUGGCACAAUAUAUCCAUAUUUUUUGACAGUUUGUCUCCGUUUGGUAGUUUGCUUGUGUUUUUUGAUGGACUAAUUCAUAACAAGUCUCAGAAACUUCAGAGAACAAAAGUCUUUUAAAUAAAUGAGCAAAAUAGCCAGGAACAAUGUAAGAUUUUUGGGGUGGCCAAUUAGAAGGAGGGCAAUGCCACCCCUGGCCUUCACUCUGGACACACCCCUGGUCAGUUUGGGCCUGAUAGUUUAUUUUACUCUGAGAAAUCUGCCCCUGGAAAAGUUAUCAUCACAGAGCAGUUACCUGAAAAUAUCUCUACGCCCUUUAUUCGGUAUAUGUGCAGAAAGAUGGAGGAAAUCAAUCAUUUUGGUCGAGCAGUGUGUCUAAUGUACAUGAUGAAGACUCAGCGAAUCUGCUCUCUAGCCAAGAAAUGAGGGGAUCUCCAGAGUCUGAAUUGAUUUUUGAAGUUGGCGCCGAAUGAGUAUAUUCCAACAGAAUGAAUUUAUUGCCAUCUUGAACCAAGACAUCUGGUCUCACCAAUUUAUAACCUUGGACCCAGAUUGAGUUCAGGCAAGACUGAACAAAUAUUAGUGCCAAAAUAGAGAGGGAUGCCAAGGCCUGGAUGGUGGAUCAGCACUUUGGACUUGCGUACAGCGCCUUAAAUUAAUUUUUCAACAAACUCCCAGCGUAAACUUUCACACUCCAAAUCCUUCUUUCCCCAAAGUGUUUCUGUUGCGAUCUAAUUCAGAUAUUAAACAACUUUCUGUAUUCUUGUUUUCCAUGCUUUUGAGUUGUUUCCUGCAGCGUCGUGACCACAGACAAGAACACUUAAGACGGUAAAUUCUGCAUCAAAGCAGUCUAUCUCAGCUCUUUAUUAUCCCUCCUCCUGCUUUCCAUUUCUAUUUAUCAUAUGUAUUUCCUCUGUGCACCAUAGGCUUUUUCAUCUGACCUUGUGUUGAGCCACAAAGAGCUUUCGGCUUCUUGCGCUGACAUUAAAAAAAGAGCCUGAAAUUUUUGUCCAAGUUUUGACGAACUGACUGACGUAAGAAGAAGACACAUUCAGGUCUGAGUGUCCUCCAAAAACUAGGGCAUAUAAUCUGAAAACAGGAACAUCGCCUUGAGAAGAAGAAGAAGCGCGACUUUCAUGGAUCAAUUCCCUGAAGUGAGAUCGACAGCAGGAUCAUGAUUCACAGUGCCGGUCUUGCUUUUCAACAACACAACACCAUACAUGUACCAUCAUGUACCCCUGUAACAACACAAUACCUUUCAGAGCGUAUUUGCACUCGAGUUAAAGGUUUGGAGGAAAUAUUGCUUGUUAGAGUUCAUCCUGAAAGCAAAAGCGGAGCAGCACUGCGUCAUACAUACAGGGUAAAUGGAAAACUGAGCUCAAUAUAUGCUUGACGGGGUCACACAAGAGAGUACUUAUGAGAAAUGUGCGUCUGGUUUUCGAGUAGAGCUGCAGCAGCCAUCUAUUAUGGAGUUUCUAUAGAUAUUAUUGAAGGUUGAGUCAUGGAUGUAAACGGUACAAUGAGAGAACAUAUGGAAACUUUUCAUCAUACGUUUGACCAUCGGAUAGGAACUAAAGCUUGAACUUCGCCAAAAGUUCAGAAAAAAUGACCUUACAAAGAGCAACAUUAGUCACAGCAAGAGCCCUAGCAAGAGUGAGGUACUGAGUUUGUUCAAUUUGGAAUUUAGUUAUUAUUAAAAGUCAUUUUCGAUAUUCUAUUGUGUCUGUAAGCAACUUGAACGUAAACAGCAGUUAUUUCCCUUAACAACUUGGAAAAGUCGACGAAGCUGACAGAACACUUUUUCAUUUGUAAUUUAUGUAAGAUGUGGUGAUUUUUGACAAUUUUUACUUUUUUAUCGCCUAAAACGUGGGCGCCAUUAAUCUUAAUGGUCCUAACCCUGACUAAUCUACCAGUAUAUAAUGUAUAAAAGGGUUUUUUUGUAAUUGUAAUGCUGUAGUUUACCCAGAAGAUGGCGCCAAACUAGCCAAAGCUUCAUCACACACGUCCACCAUCAUGACUGCGACGAUCACCCCACAAACUUUGUAAAGCGCUGUUAAAACUGAUAAUGAGUUGAGCUCAAGUUUAUGCUAACUUCUGGGCAGCUGGCAGGAUUGGCAGCUUAAAGGUGGGGUAGGCAGGAUCUGAGGAAGUUCCAGUUUUUGGGAGAAAUCUUGAACAUAAACACUACCCCUUCAACAGACGACCAGCAAACACAAUGUUUGCAGGACUUCUACAACGAGGAUAAAGUGACAUAGUCCAGGACCCGAGGGAGACAGUUACGCGGCGCUACAACACGCAGCAGGUCCAGUUUGACAAGAAACACUUCUGUUACAGACACUUGUCUUACUUUGUUAAAGCGGUUUACCUGUCCAGCAGAAAGGUUACAGGGUCCGUAAGAUCCCAAAGCAUCUCCCAUCAUUGUUGACCCGGCUUUUUUAGCUCUUGUCCAGGUGGCCUCCCUCCUUUUUAAGCGCCCGUUAUUCCGCCAGAGUCUCCGGUAUUUCUCUUCCUUUUCCUUUUACUUCCUUUUCUUGCUUGUGUCGGCAGUCGUGGCCAAAGGAGGAUUCAGACAAUUUUCCGAACUUUCUGGUUGGUUUCUACUCUCCGAUAUUGUAGCACGCUAACUUUGUUUGGACUCCUGAACGACACGGGGAGCAGCAUCCGCCUCACAACCAAUCAGGUUGGGGAGGCGGAGAAUGGCUUUGUUUACAGUCAGAAAAAGCGCUCAAAAAAUUUAAAAUGUUGAUUACACAGAGAUAACAAAACACAGCGAUAUCGUUAUAUUACCAAAUGUCAUCAAUAACUAAUAGCUAUUGACUGAUAUUAAAAUCUUUUUUGUAUAUACACCACAAAAAAAGAUGCUUCUUUAACGGAUUCCUGCCUACCCCACCUUUAAGAAGGUACUAGAUAGAGCUUCUUGCAUGAUGAGGACUAAGCCAGUUCUUUCUUUUCCUUGACCAACAAGCCGUAUCUCAUAUUAACACUCAUGAAUACUCCAGAUUUGAUAGGACUUAAAUUAAUUAUUCGUAGUAUUUUCCACUAUGUUUAAAGAGUGGACAUGUGUCCUAUCUGUUGCUGUUUCAAUAAAGCGAGCAACUCCUUGUACAUAAGGCUAAUUAGCAGCAACAUGAUUUUGCUUUGUUACCUCACACAGAUUACUCCUGUCAUUGUUUGGUGGUGGGCGUUUGCUGAGUGUAAAAAUACAUAUUUCAUAAUGAAAGUGAUAACAGAGUCGUAUUCCUCUCAUCUCUGGCUUUAAAACAAGUGAUCAAAAGUUCUUGUUUUUAUUCAAAGUGCUUCUUGCUCUUUUUUUUUCUCCUUUUGAAGACACGACUGCCUGCCUAAAGUGACUGGUAAGUCUGCUAAAAACACACAAACACACACACACACACACACUCGGUCUUUUAUUUCCAGAGCUAUUUUUGCAUCUUUAUUUUUCGUCUUGUACUUCUUGUCAGUUAUUUUUCUCCCUUACUUGAUAGAUUUAAUAAGCCGCGAGUUUCAUAGUCUCAACUUCACAGUUGGUUCUAUCAAAAGUCUUUGUGUUAGUGAUCAUUUCUGGGGAAGGCUGUGCACCUGUUCAAGGAUUUUUAUUGAUCACUCAAUCAACUUUUCUUUUUUGGACUUUUAAAAGCUUUUCAGAAUAGUAUUCUUACUUCUGAGUAAACCUACAGCCUCCAGCUCAGACUGAGAAGCACUUUGGUCUGUAUUUCCGUACAUGCAAGACUGUUAUACGUGCAGGAUACAUGGAUAGAGUGUUUUUAAGGUCAUGUAUAAGGACGUUUAUCUGUUUACAACAUGUCCAAGUUGUCUUUUAUUUAAGGUGAUAAUUUCUGUCACAAUAAAUCAACAAAACACAUUUGCAGCUGCUCAGUUUAUAACCUCAUUAUCAUUGUAGUGAUUGAUGCUAAAAUAAUGAACUGCUGUGCUGAUUAGGCGGAGAAGCACCAAAACAAACGACUUUGAUCUGAAGGAUAUUAAAGUAAGAUGUAUUUUUUGAGAAUAUCGGACCUUUAAAAGAGUAGUACUCAUUAAGAUAUCUUUUAUUUUUAGAUUUCUGCAGCUGGACCUUGAAAUCUAUUGAAUUUGUUGCACAUAUAGGAACACAUUUAUCAUAAUCCAGGGGUACAACAAGGCCAGGGUUAUAACAAGUGGGUGAUCACGACUUCUCUGUCCUCAUGGAUUACUAAUUUACUUGAUUAAUUGGUUGAGUUAAGUAAUUUAGUGUCAUUAAAUAUCGUUAUCUGUAUAUCAUUUUCCACUCCUUUCUGAGUAUUCUUCAAAGAUGAAAAAUUACAGUAAUGGCAGUUAGAGUUAUGUCAUGGUUACACAUGGUAACUAAGUUAAGAUAACUGUUUCCACUUUGUCUCAGUCCAUGAAUUCCAAAUUAACGCCACAAUGCAGCUGCUUGUUUGUAGCGAGACCUCGGGCCAGUCCAUUACGGACUACAGCGGGGUGACGCAGCUCAAGGAAGAACAUUUAUGAUCAUUUCUUUAUGGAAAUGCAAUCAGACCGAGACGCUAAGGCAGAAGAACUACUGUGUCUGCAGUGCAAAAUGAUUAAUAUGAUGAUUAUUACUUGGUUGCUGGAAGAGAGUAGGUGAGUUGUGUUUAGUCUCUUUGCUAAAGAAACCAGGCAAAGCUAAAAAGAUGUUUGGUGUCUAGUACUAUGUCUGUGACCCUAUAUGUCCUGUUGAUGAAGUUAGGUGCUGUUCUGAGCAUUAUUUGUGGCUAUAGAGUGGCUUUCUGGUUGAGCGCAUGGCUCCCUGUAUUGCUAUCUGUGGUCAUUACUUAAGUUGAUAUAACUAGAGAAGCAAGUGGUCGGCAACAUUCAUCUCUCGAGGGGGUGUCUAACUCGGUGUUACGGUGUGUUUGACCCUAAAUUAAUUUUACACCGGAAUAUCCCUUUACUUACAGAUUUCUCCUGGAUUUAAAUCAUUAACAAACUCUCAAAUUAACAUUUAAUGGACAUUUUUUAAUUGGAGUGUUAAUGAAGUCCAAAACACAGAACACAUCAGUUGUUGGUUUGAUUUGCUCCAUGAGUCAUAAACCUUUAGCCUGUUUUUAUGACUAAUUGAAUUUAAAGAUGGAAAAUUUGAUUGAGAUGCAUCAUUUGUGUCACAGAUUACAACCAGGAUGUUGAAAAACAAGGUGUGUUACAAGAAUUCACAGGACUUCAAUAACUUCUAGGAAAAAAAAAGAAUAAAGUCAGCCAAUAUGUCUUUGACUCGGUUUUUAUUGCAUGUUUUAGCCCGCGGCACUUGUACAAAAUUGUCCCUGUUUCAUAUUUGAUUUGAUACAUUAUGAACAAAUGUUGCAUUCUCAAUAAACUAACUGCUGACAGAGAGUCACAAAUCAAUGUUUUCUUUUGUGGUUAUACAUAUUUUCUUAAAGAAACUGUACAAUUCAUGAAGAAGCUCUGAGCUUACACAAAGUGUAUCUACGUGUGACUACACUGAUUCUAUUGAAUGUCUUUCUUUAAAGAUGUAUUUGAUCAAUUGUUGAUGUUGCUGUCUAAGAAGACAUGGAGUCAUUCUCUUGUCAACCAGUUCUUGAUACCUGAGGCUGUACGGAUAUUUAUUGAAAGGGGAAAAUGAAUGUUAGAUGAAGAUCCCGUGGUUUAGUGGGAGUUGGUCGUCUCCCAGAAGGUUGAGGGUUUUACUCAAGUGUCCUUGAGCAAGACAUUAAGCUCCAAAGUGAGUAAAUUAGUUAACACUUAUGAGUUCUUCAUGUAACAACCUCGAAUUAAGUCUGAGCAAGUAUUUGAGACGUGACCUGUAAGUGUCAUGUCAAUUGUUGUGGGGUCUCAUGGGAAUGCCAAUGGAAACCAAUGGUUUUUGCCACAGUGUUAACAGACAAAGGGUCCAUAUAAGACGAGAAAAGGGUCAAUAACUGACAACCCAAAGAGUUUUAACCAAUGAGUGACAAGUAUUUAAUACAGCCCGGUCAUUCUUAAGACCUUUACACAUUGAGAAUGUGAACAGAAACCAACGUUUUUGACACAGUGUCAACAGGCACACAUAUGUGGGGUCAAGAAAAGACAGGAAAUUGCCAGAUGGUCCUUUAAAGAAACAAAGGCCUCUAAAAAGGUGGAGUUUUGACCAAGUUAGGUAACCUCCAGCAGCCACCAUAUUGGAAAUGCUGACUAACACUAACUUUGUUGACCUAGCAUGUUGCGUCGUCGUCGUUUUCUUCCACUUCAUCCGGGUCCGGGUCACGGGGGCAGCAGCUUCAGGAGGGAAGCCCAGACGGCCCUCACCCUGGCCACUUGCGCCAGCUCCUCCGGGGGGAUUCCCAGGUGCUCCCAGGCCAGCCGAGAAAUAUAAUCCCUCCACCUGGUCCUGGGUUGGCCACGAGGUCUCCUGCUGUUGGAACAUGUCUGGAAAACCUCUAACAGGAGGCGUUCAGAAGGCAUCCUGACCAGAUGCCCGAGCCACCUCAGCUGACUCUUCUGGACGUGGAGGAGCAGCGGUUCUCCUCUGAGCGCCUCCCGAGUGUCUGAGCUCCUUACCCUAUCUCUAAGGCUGAGCCUGGACACUCUGCGGAGGAAACCCAUUUCCGCUUGUAUCCGUGAUUUUGUUCUUUCGGUCAUUACCCACAGUUCAUGGGCAUAGGUGAGAGUCGGCACGUAGAUUGACCGGUAAAUCGAGAGUUUCGCCUUACGGCUCAGCUCUUUCUUCACCACGACUGAUCGGUGUUGCGAACAAGCAGAAUUGAGGCAAACUUUCAGUCUCUCUGUAACCUUGAAAUCUUCCAAACUACAAGUUGGAGCAGGGAUGCGUUUGUCCACAGGGGGCGCCAAAAUCAACAGAAACCCACAUUUCUUCACAGAGGCUUUAAAACAAACAGUUCUGAAGCUUGGUUUUUCAGGGAAACAAAUACUGCACCUUUCCGAGUGUUAUUGCUCCCAUUUAUUUCUCCACUUUGAUAUUUUUUCCUUUCUUUUACUGAUGAAACUGCUUCAAGAGUGAGCGAGGUCAUCAUUGCACUUAAAUUCAAAUGUAAAAGCUUCAGAAAAACAGGGCCCAUUAUGCCACCGUGAUAAUUUCACCAAUUUUAUGUUCUCUCCCUCUGUCUUUCACAGUCACAUAGGUUACUGCUCUGACACACGCACACACACCCACGGACACACAGACCUCGGCCAAGUCAUAAUCUUUCUUACUGCAUCUAGCGAUAUGAGGAAAGCUGACUUUUCCACAUCAAGAUGAGAGGGGUGGGAGCAUUAUCAGCCCCAGAGAAAGAUAAGAGUGACGUUAUUGGGGCCAGGAGUCCUGCGUGCAAAAUCCAAAGGUCAUCCGAGCAUGACUUCACACCAUUCGACACAGAAACGCUGAAGGUCAGGGAGAUUGUUGCAGUAAUCUAUCCAUAAGAAUGACAACUGCACAUUUGGUUUCAUUCAGCAUGAUUUUGCAGUUUGUUUGCAAGAAAUGGCAUUUCAGAAAGCUCAAAUUGGUCCCAAAUUUCAUAAAUGCUUGGGCACUUUGUAAACUGUUGAUAAAAUUUAGUUUGCUAAUCAUUUUGGCUCUUUAAUUAACUGAAAAUAUUGAAAGGACAACAUAACAAACCAAAUUAUAUGAAGACAAAAGCGCUUUUUAGAUUUGACACCAUCGACAUUUUUCUAAACAGUCGAUACAAGGACAGCAAAACUCUAAAAAAGUUGUGAAAUACUUUCCCGGAUAAACCUUUGACCACAAUUUUGUUAAUUUGCCGUGACAUACCACAAGUUUGUAGCAUGUGCAGUAAAAAUUGCAUUCCAGCGAGACUGAGGCUGUUAGGAGCAAAAGAUGGGAAAAGACUCUCCACUCUGUGAGAGGCCGGGUGAGGGUCAACAACUCCAAUAGAAGGCUUCUGCAAAUACGGCUGCAAAGAAUUUGAGUAUUUCAUCAUUUUUAGCACAUAAUUUUAUAAAAAGAUCGAAAGAAUCUGGAGAAAUCUGUGUAUAAAAGAAGCACUGCAUUAAAAACAGACCUGUGGAAAUCUACGGAUUGGCUGUUUGGUGACACAUUCCCUCUCCCCCAAGUUUCAGACACCCAUAUGAGUUUAAUCCUUUUUCAUUCAUGUUAAAAAACUCCACACAGGAGCUUUAAAUCUCAGUUUUAAACAUCAUGGUGCAUUUUAUGAACAUUUUACACAGCAUACCAAUUUUGGGGGGAAUUGUGGCCGUAAUUCAGAGGGACUUUUCUCAGUCAAGAGGACAAAAUUACAACUACUAAGCAUCCAGAGAGGUGACCGAGGGAAUGAGAGAGGCAGGGACACUGUAAAAGUCCAGGCCACUGAACCCUGCUAGUAUCAAGUAGCAUAUUAAUUCUAGUGGAGCACCCGGGAUAAGUGGGGCCCCUGGGCACUACACACUCCGGAUAUAAUCAUGAAGCCUCUGCAGUCAAUAGCAUAAUAAAAUAUACAGUGUACAGUUAAGCUGUGAAAUGGAUGCGAACAAAUCCUGCAGCAAAGACAAUCAAGAAGAUGGGAAUUGCAGGGGUUUUAUAAGGUAAGCAGUUUAUUCAGCAUGUAGAUGAGGAAUCAGCAACACACAAGGCGUCUAUUUGGUCGGAAUUGAGAUGUGAUUUAAUUGAGCUACGCCAGUUUUUCAAGAAAUGAAAUUCCCAAAAUAACAUCAGUUCCAAUCAGAGCGUUUCUGUGUUAGACUCGCACAUCAAAAGCCCCAAUAUAAUCCGAAAAUAUCAUACAUUUUGUCCACUUUGUGUGCCUCCACAUCAGGCGUCUCGGCUGUGUUCUUUAGACUCACAGUAUGGGCCAUUUACUGUCUUAGUGCAGUUUGUUUUUGCAGCAUAGGUCAUUCAAAACAAAUAAAUAACUGCACUGAGAGGUCUGACAGUGCAGGGCGCCGUCCGCCUUCCAAGUGCGCUGUGCUGGGCUGCAGUUUGUCAGAAGUGAGAGUACAAUCUAAAAGCCUGCAGUUUGUGCUGGACAAACUGCACAUGUACUGUCUUACAAAUGGCACAAAAAGCACCGCGGCUUUCGCGGCUCAGAGAUGGAUAUUGGCAUGUCACAGCCAGCAGUUCCUCAUGUUUGAAAAGCUCGGAGGAAAAAUUAAUGGAGGGUAAAUGGAAGUCUGAACCAGUGAUCAUAUUCAGCUAUUUCUUUCCUGUGCUCUUAACUGUUCUGGGCAGCACAGUGAGUGAAAUACAAGCCAAUAAUUCCUGCCAAAGCCGGUUCAUGGUGGGUGUUGGACUCCACCAAGGCUGACCGGUGUUGCUUGAUCUGUUUGUGAUUUUCAUGGACAAAAUGUCUCGCCACAGCUUGAGGGGUGGAUAAGGUCCAGCUGGGUCCUGUUGGGAAAGUAAACGCAGGUCUGUUUGCAGAAUUGGCUUGAAACCAGCUGUUUGCGGUCAGAUAUAAAGGUACUAUAAGGAACUUUUGACAGUUUUUUUUACAUGUACUGAAAUUGACGCUGAUAUCUCCCUCUGACCAAUCAAAGCAAACCAGCCCAGUGAGUAGAAGAAUUAUGAUCUUAUUAGAAUGAAUUAUGAAUGUCAGGGGUGGGUGUCAGAUGAGGCAGGUAAAAGCAUGCUAGUUUUUUAAAAUUUUUCUAUUUACAAGAUUCAAUGUAAGGCAUGUACAGCUGUCCAAAUUAGGAGAAAGUGUCAUGUUCUAAAAUCAGUAAACACUACUUUUACAUGUAAAGGACAAGAAAAGAUAAGAAUGUACAAUUUUGAAAGAAAUUGAAUCAUUGGAAAUGUAAAGUUGUUAAAUGUUGAAUAUUACAAUGUUGGAAAAAAGUCAAAUUCCAAAAUGAUUUAAAUAUUCAAAUAACCUACCAAUAUUAAAUGUUUAGAAUGUUAAAAAAACUUGAAAAUGUUGCAUAAACUUAAAAAAAAAAUGACAAUAUUGAAUAUUAAAAAUGUGAAGUUUUGAAAAUUUAAAGUGUAAAAUGUUAAUACGUAAAAUGUUUUAAUGUGAAAAUGUUGGAUAAAUGUUAAAUAAAGUUACAAAGUAAAAUGUUUAAUUGUUGAAAUUUGAAAUGUAAAAUUUUAGAAUGUUAAAAUUUUAAAUGCUGAAUUGUAGACUGUUAGGUGUUAUAAAUGUAACCGUAAAGUGUGAAAAUGUUGAAAAAUGAUGAGAUAAAAAAUAAAUGUUUAAAUGUUAAAUUUUAAAUGUUGAAAUGGCCAUGUCAAAUGUGAAAAUGUUGGAAAAAUGUUACAUUAUGUUACAAGGUAAAAUGUUUAAUUGUUGAAAUUUGAAAUGUCAAAUUUUAGAAUGUUAAAAUAUUAAAUGCUGAACUGUAGAAUGUUAAGUGUUAUAAAUGUGACCGUAAAAUGUGAAAAUUUGUAAAUUUUCAAAUAAUGAGAUUAAAAUUUAAGUUUUUUUUUUUUUACUAAAAUUUUAAAUGUAUAAAUGUUAAAACUAAAAUGUUGAAAUGUUCAUGUCAAAAUGAAAAAAUAAAAAUUGUUAAAUAUUAUGAUUAUUGUUAAAUGGAUAGAAAUUAACAAAACAAAACAAAAAAAAAAAAAGCACAGGCCUGGAUAGCCCAAUUUCUGUACCAGAUGUGUGAGCAGGAGCAUUUUUCCCUUUAAAGUGUCAGUUUUGCAUUAUAAGGAUUAUUGUUAGCUUGAGUGACAGGUGAGUAUAUUAUAACAGUUAAUCUGGGGGCUAAAGGCCUACCUCUGCCCAGCUUGACCAAACGUGAAGUUGGGUUGGCGUUUGGAGUGACCCAUUCCCUGAUUGGUGCAUCGUUGACUGAAAUGUUCUGGACUCCUGUUUAAUAUUAGUAAUGGAGGUGAAACUCCAUAUCCUGGCUCGGCCCUCUUACCCUCUGCUGUGAUCAUGACCUUUAGAUACUGACCAAAGGGAUCAGGAACCAGCAGCUAAAAUGAGCUUCAUUCCCAGGGUGACCAUUAAGUACAGGGUAAGGAACUUAGAUGAAACUCAUUUACAUUGAAAUGACUCCAGUGUGUCCAGCUGGGAGUACACCCCGAGGCGGACCAAGAGCAAGGCUGAAGGGGAAAUAAAUCCCGCUUGGCUUCGGAUCACCUUGGGACCCUCGGGGAGGAGCUCAAGGAAAUGACACCCAGGCUAUUCUCCUUGGAUGGAUUCAUAAACCUCCGUUUUACAGACUCCGCUACCAAAACUUGGUCCGAUAAUGUUCCUGAAAAACCCGUUUUUUCCCUUUUAAGAGCUGCUGAUCAGACACUGUGUUCUCAAAUCAUGCAAAACACAUCUGGGGGCCUUUUUUCCCCCUGUGGUUCGAGCCGAAGAAAAACAACUCUAGGUACAAUCAAACCCUUGAGUACCCCUUUAGUCUGAUGCACCUCAUUCUUUAGGAGUCUUUAGUUCCUGGCCAUUACCUAUAACAUCCCGGCUUCAAGACAUUCGCUACACUGUGUGGCGCCAUUAGGGAGGAAAAGUUCUCCAAGGGCUGAAACCUCUCAUGGAUUUUCUCGGCGUCAUGUCCUAUGACCGGGCAUCUUGUCAGCUGAGCCUAAUCUGACAGGAUGCUAAUAGAUUGUCUAAUUAACAUAAUGUCCGACCAUUAGCAGUGGUUAACCUUUGACUCAUCGCACUGACAGGGAUAAUAGGAGUGGCGGCGAGAAGCCAUGGAUGCUAAUGCUCUGUGAACUCAUGUUAUUUACAAAUUAUUUCCACACUUCACACGGUCUGGGCGCCGAGAUUGAAGCAGUCGUGUCGUCAGACUUUUGGGGUGUAUUGUAUUGUUGGUAUCCAUGUCAUUUCAUCCAAUAAUACAGUUCUUAAGCUGUGCUAUCAGCUCGGGCCGCCUUAGAUGGCAGGAGCACAGAGCGGUCAAGCAGUCGUCAUUUCACCUCGCUGAACUUCUGCCGCCGUUUCACCCUCAGCGCUGAACCAAAUCCGACCACUUUCCACAGCCUUGAACACCACUUCCCUCCUCUUUGCAUGGACUCACACACAAACAUAUGCGCUGCGCCCUAGCCGCUGAUCCGUCAUGAUGUCUCCUUCCACCUCAUUUCCUCAGACCCCCGCUUCUUUCUAAUUGAGGCGGCGGCGAAUACAAUUAUGGUGAGAAUCAUCCCGCACUGAUGUGAGGACGGAUUAACCGGAUUAAGACGAUAAUCUGUUGACCCUCCGGCCCCGGCGCAGUAUGAGGCUGGGAAGGCAAUUUGAAGCAGAGAAGAAGAAGAGAUAGAGGGGGGGCUUUAAUGAGCGAACUGACGAAAGGCUCUGACCACUCUGAGGCUGGCCUGGCGUGCUGCCGAGGGAUUACUUUCUGCAAGAGUCCCCCCCCCCCAUAAUCUCACCUAACCCCUCACAUCCGCCCCACUGCCCACUGACUCGCUCCUCGUUAGAGAUGUUCAGGAACAGCCGCACGUCUCUGCUAAUAAAGGUUACAGCGUCACACAAAGAGCAGGAUUAAAGCUCAUGAUACCAGUGAAAAUGAAAGGUCUUUUAUAUUACACAAGUUUUCAACAGAUAAAGGUCCAGCAGAGGGUUUUGUUUGGGCUUUUCCUGCUUCCUGGAAAUCCACCUGCUGAUCUGAUUCUGAAAGAACAUUUCACAAUUAACCAAAAAAAAAAAAGGAAAAUUCACUUGGUUCUGCCGCUCCUACAGUGGAGGAUUGAGGGCACUAUAGGGAUAAAAUAUUUACAAAAAUAGAGUUUCAGAAGUACAAUAAAAACCAACAAAAAAAAGAUUCGAGAAAUAAAAGCAAAAAAGUUCUGAAUUUGCAAGAUUAAAGUCAUGUUAAAAAAGGAUUGAAGUCAUAAAUUGACAACAAUGCAGUAAAAAAAUUACCAUAUAAUUUUUUAUUGAAUUAUUUAUAUGAUUAAUAAGGUUAUAAUCAAUAAGUAAAAAAGAGUAGUGACAAAUGAAUAAAAUAAAAAACAAUUCAAAAAUGUGUAAGAUUUAUCUUAUGAUUAAAACAAUAAAAUAAUAAAAUAAGUAAUAUAAAUAAAAUUGGAGAGAUAAAAAUAAAUUUGAAAAAUAAAAUAGAUUUAAAAAAUUAGUAUUCAAAUAAUCAAUUAUAAAAAUAAAGCUAUUUGACACUAAAGAGAUUAAAAAAUAUAAAAUUAUAGUACAAUAAAUGAAUAAUGCUAAAUAAAUAAAAUAUGCAAUAAAAUGUAAAAUAUCAAGGGUGAAGUUAUAAAAUAACACGAUUAGAAAUGUGAAUGUAAGAGUACAGAUGUAAAACAUUUAAAGAGAAAGUUGUGAGUAAUUCACAUGAUAAUCAUUAAAUUGCUGGAGCAAAGCCGUACAUUGACAAGAUGUGAGUUAGACAAUAUAAAGAAUAAAACUUCAAAUUUGCCAGAAUGAUCCAAAGAGGUAACAAAUGCCUUUAUAUCACAUUUUGUUGUGAAAGAGUCACUUAAUGGGUUUAAAAACAAACUGUUUAUAGUUUUAAUUUACACUGUACUGACUGAAUACCUGUUUAAAGUUAGAUGAAUUACCUCACAUUAGGUGUAUAAGCUGCUCGAUCACAGCAGUUUUUACCUCUGUAAACACAGACAUGUGUUGGUUUACUGCAUGAGUAUAGAGGUUACAGCAGAUAAAUGACAAAGAGAUGCGUUUUAUCCUUUAUGUUUAAACAUUUUAUCACUGAAUAGAGAAUUUAGAGUCCUUAUUACAGCGUUAAAAGACAAAAUGAUGCCAUAAACCGUGUAAACAAAGGGGCUUUACUGCUCCUGUGUGACUGAGGAGCUGUGACCGUGUGUAAAAGUUACUUAUGAGGGCAGUUAGGAGAAAGUUGGCAGCGUCCAGUUGACAGUACAUCAAGUUUUUGCACAGAGUACACUCCAGCAGGGCGCUUUGUCCUUAUGGGAUUUUCUUAGCGUAAACCAUGAUGAGAGACUCCUCUUGAGUUCCUUUGUAAUAGUUAAAAUCAUUAGACAGUGAGUGGGAUUAUCUCCUCUCUUUUUGCAUGUAUCAAAUUUAUUCCUCCACGUGACCUGUCAGGUAUGUCUCCGCAGGAAAGCCUUUUAAUCCCACGGCUGUGAUAUAGUUGUUGAUCUGCAGCACUCUGGAUCAAUGGACUGAGAUUAAAAAUGAUGUUAAUGGAGGUUUGAUGGGUUUAAGUGAUGCUUUUGACGCAGGCUGCAAAUCAUCUUCACUUUUCGGAGGAAUGAAAGGCAGGAAUGAAAAGCUUUCUGUCUGAAUAAGACUUUCAUCCUUUGACAUCUGUCUUGUACUUUUUCGAUGAAUAGCAAGUGCUUAAAGUCCUUGCCUGACAAAAUUAAUAACACACGUACGCAUCGGCUGUUCUGUUGAAUGAUGACUCCUCAUUUCAUCAGUAUUCUCCGCUAUUUUGAGAGACAACAUUUCUGUAAUUGCAUCGCCUUGUUUGAUUAGACAUAAACACGGGGUUACACCUGGAACGCGACUGAAAAGAUUGUCCACUCUGAUGCCUGACAAGCUUAUUCACUUUUAUAUAACCUUCAGAUUCCCCCCCAAAAAUGUGCUCUAAAAUAAACACCAGACAGUUACAGGGCCACAUAGAUGCCACAAUAACUCUUGAGUAGCAUUCCUGACCAGUUUAAUUAAAUACAUGUCUGGCUUUCAAAACCAUUGCUUCAAUCCUCUUUUAGAUGAGCACAAAAAGUACCAAUAACAAGCCUUAUUUUUAGUUAACAUUAAAAAUGAAGUUUCAAAGGACUUUAAAAGAGCCCUUGACAAUGUCCCAGGGUACUGAAGGUUGUAAGAAAUGAGAAAAAUAUUAAUUGAUUUGUGCGGAGUUUCAUCUUGAAAGUGAAUCACUAUAAUAAAAGGUCUUUUGUGUCUGUAAAAAAGUAGUAAACAAUGACCAGCCUUCAUGAAAUAAAGUAAUAAAUUCCUUAUGUAUAACCACUCUUGUGGGAAAAAAAUAAAUUAAUGUGGAAUGAAGUUAAAACGAUGAAAGUAAAAGUUUUUGAUUUUGAGAUUAUAAUCAAUAUUAUGGGAAAAAUUAGAAAGAUGGUGGUCAUUCUGGAACCAAAAAGUCUAAUUCCUAGGAUGAAAAGUUAAAAUCACAAGACAGUAAAUUCUUACUGUGAAAUGUAGAGAGAAAAAUGUUAUAAAAUGCUGCUAUUUUUAGAUUUUGAAAGUUCUAAGGAAAUAGCCAUGACCCUGAAGUCAUGGACUCAGAAUUACUUUCAAAAGCCAAUGGCAAGAAACCAAUUGUUGCUGCACACAAAAAUACAGCUCAAAGCUGUACUACUCAAACAGCAGACCACAAAAAAAAAAAAAACAGUAUGAAAAAAUUCAGCAGAGAUACAGCAGAGAUAUAGUUGCAAAAACUUUUUUCAAGUGGUGGGCACAGCGUCCAAGAUUUCCAAAAAACUAUCAAAGUUAUGACAUCCUUUUUGGAGAUCUAGGAUGUAGUGUUAAUCACUAUAAAGAGGGACACUGUGUGCAGGAUUUCCAGAAUUAAUGUGAAAUCUGUUACAUUCAUUUUGGAAAUCUUGGACACUGUGCCCACCAUUCUAAAGAAGGGGACAUGGUAUCCAAGAUGUCCAAAAAAAUGAAUUCGACAUUGUUGUUGGAAAUCUCAGAUACUGUAUCCACCAAUCUAAAGAGAGAUGCAGAGUCCGAGGUUUAAAAAAAAAAAAAAGAAAAAAAGGUCUAAUUUAUGGCACUCUUUUUGGAAAUCUUGGACACUGUGCCCACCACUCUAAAGAAGGGGACAUGGUAUCCAAGAUGUCCAAAAAAAAAAAGGUCAUGAAUUUGACAUUUCCAGAAACAAUGUGAAAUCUAUGACAUUCAUUUUGGAAAUCUUGGACACUGUCCCCACUACUUUAAAGAAGAGGACAGGGUAUCCAAGAUUUCCAAAAAAACUCCAUUUGAUGUUGUCGUUGGAAUUCUCAGAUUCUCAGAUACUGUAUCCACCAAGCUAAAGAGUGAUGCAGUGUCCAAGAUUUCCCCAAAAAAGGUCUAAUUUAUGGCACUCUUUUUGGGAAUCUUGGACAUUGUGCCCACAACUCUGAAGAAGGGGACACAGUAUCCAAGACUUCCCAAAAAAUCAUGAAUUUGACAUUGUUGUUGGAAAUCUUGGAUACUUUAUACGCCACUCUAAAGAGAGAUAGAGUGUCCAAGAUUUCCAAAAGAAUAUUGAACCUCUGAAUUUCCUUUAUGGAAUCUUGGAUGCUGUGUUCACUACUCUAAAAAAAGGGGGACAGUGUCCAAGACUUCCAAAGAAAUCACCAAAUUAAUGGCUUUUUUUUUUUUUUUUUUUAAUCUUGGAUGCUGGGUCUAACACUCUUAACGGACACAGAGUUAAAUUUCUGAAUUUCCUUUUGGGAAUCUUGGAUGCUUUGUCCAUCACUCCAAAGAGGGAGGUAGCAUAUGGGCUUGCUUUCACAGUUUAAAAGCCAGCAAUUAGGAUAGUAUUGGGAUACAUCAGUGGCAUAGCAAGAGUAGUGUACACAUUACGACCUUGUGUAAAACAGCAAGACAAGACCAAACCACAUUCUGCAUAUAUGUUUCUAUAGUCAAAGAGUCCAGGUGUUAAACUGACCUGCCGGCUGUCCUAGUUUUUGUCACCUAUUUAAACAUUAUUUUUCAUUAUGAUGCAAUAAAAUCCAACAAAGGAGACCCCGAACUGUGAAGCAGCUUAUCGGGGAAUAAUAGGACAGUAUUUCACUUUCAGAACUCAAAUCUGGUCUCCCUGGUUCCCAAAUGUUUACAGACUGUUGUUAAAAGAAGAGGUGAUGCAACGCAGUGGUAAACAUGUCCCUGUCCCAACUGUUUUGCAACAUGAUGCUGGCAUCGGCUUUAAAAAUGAGUGUAUAUCUGUCAUAAACAAUAAUAUUUUUUAUGACACAUUAUUACGCAGGGAAGGAGGGCGAAAUCCUGCAAGUGUCUGGAGUAAAAGCCUAAAAUUAACUGACAAGAAAGAGUAUAUCCACUGGGAAUGUGUCUGCACACUGCCUCAAAAAGAGUUUCCAGUUGUACAAUAGUUCUUUUGAGUAUAACAUGAUUAUAAAGAAGACUGUUUCAACAGAAAAUCACAGAGCACUUUGCUUCAAACAAAUUUGCAGUAGUCGCAUAGCAAGACGGAAAGCCACCGCCAGCACUUCCCACAAGCAUCUGUUUGUAGCAGACAGUCCAAACACAAUUAGCCAAGGGAUUUGUAAUAGAUUUAUGUGAACAGAGGACCGCCGGGGAUAGAAACGUAGUGGGAACCAAGUCGACUCCAAGAUAUCAGCAGGCGCUCUUCAGAUUUGUUGUUUGGCCCAGCAGAAAGAUACAGCAGGUGUGACCGUGCGUUUCCCAGAGACAGGAAGACAAUGUGUUUGCUGUCUGUGAUUUUUAUUGCCGAGGGGUUCACUGAUUCCUCUAUCUGCCGUCCUUAUUGUGUGCUGAGUCAGGCUGCCGUCCUGGGGUUUUUCAAUCACAGACGCUUGUCUCACUACGCUGAAGAUAGCACUGAGUCACGCUGAUGUUUUCCACAGCAGCACUAAAUAUGAGCCAAUAAAGCAGACGGGCCCUUUAGGCAUCAGCCCACCCAAGUAGUUAAGACAACAUUGCUUCUUUUCUUCUUGUAUCUCUUCCAGAAACAUUAAAAAAGUUAAUUCCAAGCAAAAGAUGACAGUAAGCAUUAGCAUGAUGCUAAUUGCUAAGUGCGCUAAGUGUUUAUUUUCCAUGAUUAUUUGAUGGGCUCUGAUUUGUUCACGGUUUGCAGUCUUGAUCUCCUGAGAUCACAUCAGAUCAGCUUUCAUGUUUAUUUGAUGCAGGCGUCUUGUUUGCCAGCUGCCGUGAACCUACCCUGACUUUUCACCCAUAAUGUUUCUGUGUGGGCGUAUGAAAAAUGCAAUUGCCAUGUCAGGUUUUAUGUUUAUUUUUCUUCAUUGUUUCUCUAUAGUUGUUAUUCUCUACUAAGAUAUGUAUGAAUCCUAACAUAGCUCAACUGUGUUUGACCCAUAGACUGUAUAUACGAUGGAGAACUUGGUUCCGCCUUCCGCCAGUAUACGGAUUUGAAGCCGAAAAGCUCUUGGCAAUUCUGCGUUUUUUGUCCACUUCCUGAAACCAACAUUGCGCAGUAGAGUCGAGGUGAUGACCCCUGGCUCAAACAGCGUAUCCCCCCGGGUGAGCAACGUUCGUACACCCAUAGGCUUUACCAGGUGUCGAUCAUAGAAAACAUGAAUCCCCUAAUAACUUUUAAAAAUGGAGCUUCACAGAAAAAAGAGGACUUGAGCACAAACCAGUCUUACAAUAACCGCAUGUCAACAUCCCAACCAGGGGGGAGAAAAAUGUAUAUUCUAUGUAAUACAUUUCUAAAGUUUGUCCACAGCGCCAUAGGGAUUGCUGGAGGAGGCGGGAUUUAUGACCUAUACUGCAGCCCGCCACCAGAGGUUGCUGUUCUGACCAAAUAGUAGAGUUAUCUUGCGUCAAUAUUUACUGUAUAUAACUGUUGUGCAGCUUUAUGCUGAUGGUUUUGUUUGCUUUCGUAGGUCAUAAGGAGGCAUCAGCAUUAAUUUUAGUUCUUUUCAUAAUAAGCAAAAGAAAAUUCUCAAAGGAGCUUUAAGUUUUUGUCGUUUUUGUCUCGGCCUCCAUGGAUCUGCAUUAAAUAGUUUAUGGAUGACACUGGAGUGUUUUCUGGGUGUCAGUCCAUUAUGUGGCGCACCAGAAAAGAUCGUGUCAGCAGCAGAAUAUUUAAUGUCGAACCCCUGUGGAUUUUCAGAUCCUGCCUGUGGCUUGUUAAUGUCUCAGUUCGGGCUUCAUAAAGCGUCUCGCUGAGGUUGACAGUCUGACAGAGACGACCAUCUGGAAGUCCUCUCGACGCUGACGUGCAUUCAAUUUAUCUCCGUCUGCAUCACUUUGGACCAUUUACUGUAAACACAUAAUGUAAUUUUUCUGAAUCAACAGCGUUCCAGUGGUUCUGCUCUCUGUCAUCUGCUUCGACACAUUCACGCUCCACAUUAAUCAUAAUAAUCCUGCGUUUCUUUGUGGAAUAUAAAACGCCUUGUUGUCCAAGAAGCUGCUGAGAAAGGCGGAUUUAUUUGUUUUUCAACGCCCUCAAUUUCACCUAGUUUGGUCUUCUUUGCACCUGAAAGGAAAAUACUUAAACCUGAACAUUUUUGACGUUAUGGAAGUGCGUAGCUUACUGUGGUGCAAGGUUAAAGUGCAGUGUGUGACGUUUUAUCAAGGGAGCAGAUGAUUUGACAUGCAACCGCUUGCUCCUCACUUUGAGGGGGAAGAUAUGAAAACGUGCCAUUUCCUUUGGGGAGACGAGAGGAGAUGAGAGGAAACGUUAAUAUAUUUUGAAAGACAGAAACAAAGCAUGAUGGGAGCUUGCUAUAUCACAGGCCAGUAUACUCUACAUUUGAGUCAGAUCCCACAGGGAGUCGCAUGUAUGAGAUUUUCCUUUGAUAGCUUCUCCUGAAGUAGUAAAGUCACGUUAGAGGAGAGAAACUGUCACAUUUUCUUUGAGGAGAUUUCUAAUAAGUCUCCUUAAGGGAUAGUUUCAGUGUUUCGCAGUGAGGUUUAUGUGUUAGCCAAUAAAAAGUGUAGUACUCAAAGGAAAUGGAGCAGAUAACCCGCUCCAUUUGUGCAUCACAUCAGGCCUGUUUUCAUCAAACAUGGUUGAGAUUGACGACAUUCUGAGGAUUUGUUGUAUCUCUUUUGUAACUUUAUUUUUGUACCAGGCUGCAAAUAUAUUGCUGUAAAAAUGAACACACUGACAUGGGUCUCAAUGGGGUUUUUUGGCUUUUGGAGCCAGCCUCAAGUGGACAGUAGAGGAACUGCAGUUUUCAACAACUACACAUUGGCUUCCUCUUUAAAACCCACUUUAAUACAAAUCAAAACUGAAAAUUUAUGACUGACAAUUGAUGUUUAACUGACUUAAGAGAAGUACAAAAAUGUAGAAGUACCCAACAGAGUCACGGCUCACAAUCUGUUUCUUGUAAAUGUCACAAAUAGCACCCUGAAAAUGCACAGAUUGUGGUUAAAACACGUUAAUCUUGCAUGUGACAUCCUUCCAUGACCGCUAAUCAACCAUUUAAGCUUCAUACUGGCGUACGUCCAUCCUAACACAUUGAUAACACAGCAUGUAAAUGCAUUGACACACAAGGAUUGCUGCUCUUAAUAAGAGAUGUAUUUACAAUUCAGACAGGGGAAACAGAAACCUUUGUCUUAGAAAUGCGAUAUCCUCAACUUUCCAGCAUAUUCAACCAGCGUUUGUUCUUGUAGACAGUGUCCGUGACCUUUACAGUAUAGUUUGAGUAGUGGUAUUUACUCAAAUCAUCAUAUGCAAUGAUAAGAAGAUAUCUGAGUUACCUGAGCAAUGCAUAUAAGAUCCUUUGUGGUAUAAGCUGCCUGUGUAUUAAGCAUUAAAAGAUGACUAUAGACCACACAGUGUUGACAUUAAACAUUACAUUUUCUGUUUUCACAUUCUGCAAAGUGCCAGCCUCAGUCCUGGUGUGGGCGUUAUUUAAUUGGAGGUCAAACUUAAAGGCUGUAAAAUGUCAUUGCCACACUUGUACAGCGUUGUUGAGCCCUCUCACAGUAAUAAUAACCCGUAUUGUCACUCAUGGGUGAUGACUUAUUUCAGCUCCACAAAGACCACUACAGUGACUUAUCUAUGCAUAUGACUCCAGUGCCUCUCCUGCUCUUCAAGACAGCCAUUUAACUUGGUUGCUAAGGCAACAGACCGGCCCGGGUGACAGCGGUGAUGACAGAGCAAUCGCUGACAGACUAACUUCAAGACAGGCCACAAGUUCUUCCACUGCCGCUAAACGCUUAGUCUCUUUUUUCGCAGAGUACAAAGGGAGCGGGAUUAUGCAACACUUUGCAACAGUGAAGUGGCGUCCAUCCGAGUGACAUGUCGGCUGGGAAAUGGACGGUGCUUUUUAGAUACCAUCAGACACACACUGACAGCAGUUAUUAUGUUAUUGCUUAUUAAGAGUAAGUGGAAAAUGAGUCUUUAAAAGCAAAGUAAUGAUGCAAAUUAUAGUUUUAUGCCGGCACAUGUGCAUUUACGACUCUAAAAACAUGACAAGGGGACACACUGAGUAAUUAAACUGUCAAUUUAAACAUCACCGUCUUGACAUUAAUGUUAUAUAGAAGCAGCCGGUAUAUGCAACAUGUGACAUGAAAACCUCUGAAAGCAACUUUUCUGUUGAUUCUAGUCCCCUUGUGGACAAACUGGGACAUUGUGAAGUGGUUUUAAAUAGUCGAUCACAGCAUGAAAAUGUUGACAAAGACUGUUUUGGUCAUAUUUAGUUUAUCAAAACAUCAUACAAACCAAAAUGAUCCAAUCCAAUCCAAUCCGCUUUGUUUAUAUAGCACAUUUACAAAAACAUUCAAGUCUACCAAAGUGCUAAAAGAAUAGACAAUGCUGAAAACAUCAAGAUGAAAUAAAUAAAUAAAAGCAGGUAAAAAACAUUUAAAAUGAAAUAAAAUAAAGGAAAUAAUACACAAAAGCAUUAAAGAAAGAAAAUUGAUAAAAGGACAGUAAAAGACAUUAAAGGAUGGAGAUCACACAACUGUCAUGCUGAGCUAAAAGCCAAGGAAUAAAAAUGAGUUUUAAGACGUGAUUUAAAAGUAAAAAUGUUUUAAUCUCGAGUGGCAAUUUGUUCCAUAAUUUGGGAGCCACAGCGUUGAAAACUCGGUCGCAACGGGUUUUUAAAAUGAAUUCUUUAAUGGACGGGAAGCCAAUGGAGGGACGCAAAAUUAGUUCCACAAGGAGGAACAAAAUGGUCUCUAAGUUAAACUGAAUUCAGCUGGAUCUAAACCCCCCCUUGACUUCACAGCACAUGGUUUGCUCCAGGCUUCAAGAGGUUUGUCCACCCUUGACCACACCCUCUGCUAGACCAGGAAGUGCCACAGCCAGGUAACUCAAAGACAAAGACAUGAAGAUUAAUGUCACUGAAGUGUGUGUCUGAUCUUACAUGUUAGCACUGAAUUUAACCAGAUAAAGAUCAUAAACUCAAAAUAAGCUAAAACUAAACAUCACACCUCAGACACUUGAGUCUUACUUAACUCCACACCUAACUGUACACUUCAUGUCCCGGUGUUUCACACAGCAGCUGGGUUGUUCUAAACUACAAGGUUUUCUUACACUUUAUACCCGAGUGCUAAAGGGCAGGUAGACUGUGAACAUAUCAAGGCAGACAGAAAAGGAAAGAAAACAUGAUCUUUGUUAUCCUGACGAGUAAAUGAGCAGCGCUGUUGGAUCUCUUUAAGGCAUAAAUUGGCCUUCAUGCCACCUGGGAGCCAACUGACACCUAAGAAACAGAGAAUUCACACGUGUAUUUGUAUAUGAUCACACCAUCCAGAACAGGUGAAAGAAAAUAGAUGAAGUGACACAUCUGCUUUGGAAAAUAUCAUACUUUAUAUUUAAAAGUGACAGUUUAGGCUGUGUAAUUCAAUCAGAGGGAAAAUAAUCCACCUGUAUUCAUCUCGUUUAAUCCAAUCUUCUACUGUGGUGGUGCUAGGCAGACAAUAACAGGAUACAUUUUCCAGACCUGGCCUCAUUGGGAAACAUAGCUGCACUCCAUUUGCACCAAUCACAGUUUUCUAUGAGACAGUUUGACACAAAUUGCACAAAUCUGCUGCUCACUUCUUGGUGGCUGUUAUGCAGGUUGUGACUUCUCCUUAUCUGGCCCUUGUUACCUACAUUGCACCAGCCUGCAAGGUGGCCAGAGGGAAGUACAGGCCUCCUGAUAUGAGUCCGUGGUGUGCUCAGAUUAUGGGUCAAGUUAUGAGCUGGAAAACAAGUUAUUGUUGUGUGAAAAUCAAACCCAGAGAAGGGCCUUAAAGAUUAGUCGAUUUUUUUCCUCUGAGUUUUCGUCAUCAAAGUUGUGACUCCAUCGACGUCGAUAUCCACUGUCGUUUCCUCGGAUAAAUGCGUCCGUGUUCAAAUUAAGCACUUCACUGUAACACUAACACAAUGUAUUGAAAUGAAAGGUUUUGUCGAAUUAAAAAAUGACAUCUGUGGCACAAAUGUUCAAAUUCGACAAAAUUUACUGUCAAAGGACGUAAGAGUGCUGUGAAGACUGUUGCUUCUAAAAAAAGGAACCGAUACACCAUGAUAUGUUGGCAUAUUUGUUUGCAUAAAGAGCUUUAUUUUCCCUCAGAAAGAAAGAUUGAUACUCGCCUAGAACUAUAUCAACGCCUGAGUCACUAUCUAUUGAAGAUCUCUCGCUGUUAUGUUAAGUUGAAGGACAGUAACUAUGGCGAACCAUUAGAGUAAAGAGAAACGAGUAUGAGCAAUUAAACUUCAAAAACACUGCUCUGGUCGCGCUUAUUUGUGUGACUUUUCACUGAUAUAGUGAUUGGUUGCUAAGUAGCUGGCUAACUUGCUUGUGAGGACUGGGUGGUACCUGACAAAAUUUGUUGUCAUGACACAAGUCCUCAAGAGUGUGUCUUUUUUUAUGCAAAUCUUGCUUUAAGAAAGCGCCAUGUUUAGUUAGUGUCGACACUGUAAAGAUGUGUUGUGAAUAAUAACCGACUGAUAUCAACGUCUGAGCAGAUCUGUUGAUGUUUGAUAUAUAAUGGUUAUUGUUGGUGUUUGCAUUUGACAAAAUACAACAACUUAUUAAAACUAAAAAAAAUAAAAAAUAAAAAAGCUGAACUUGAGUGAAAUCCUUCUCUGGUGAUAUCUAUCGGCUGUGGUCUGAUGCUGACAUGAGGCUGAUUAUGUCAAAAUACUGUCUUCUAACCUUCCUCCUGUGUUAGCUUUUACUACACACCCACUAUAUUAAUGGGUCGGUUUUGACCCGUGUCUUAAAUCAGCUGUUAAUUACACUAAAAACAAUUCUCUACCAUCCAAUUUGGUUCUUAUCUCUAGGUUACCUUGUUCGGCUUCAUUAUCCAUGAAAAUAUUGCUGAUAAUAUUUUUUGUUGUGGGCCUCUGGGUCUUUCUUUGUCAGUAUACCUCCUCACACAGACAUCUAUACUUAGAUGAUCUCACAUGUCUAGACAUGCCCGAUGUUGUUUGUUGUGCAGGGAAAAACAGCAAAAUGAGAAUCCCCUAAAUCUCACAUGAUUGGAAGAGGAUCUGACUGUCCGUGUGGCGCCUGUCAGUGCACUUAUGAUUUCAGUUUUAGCUCUAAUCAUUAGACAUUGAUCUAACCGGUUUAACAGCGACCCUAACACAACAAGUGCCAUAAUUUUAAUAAGAGCAUUUUAUAAUUUAGUCAGUUUCAUUUUUUUAUUUUCAUUUUGUUGAAAUAGAGGUUCCUGACAAAGUCAAAAAGUCAGGAGGAGGAGGAGGGUUAAACAGCCAACGAAUAAAUCAGUCUCUCUAGUUGUGAAGCUCAAAAAUAGUGAUCACUAUAUUUUUCAUCAGGCCAAUAAUGGGUUUGAUAUUAGUGUAAAUAUUGGUGUUUUAAUAUGGCGUCUAAUAAGGUUAACUUUGGUUUUGGAGCCGGCCCCUCGUGGACUUCUGUAUUGGCUUUAUCUACUUCGUAUUUGUCAACUGAGGAAAUGUUAAACUGAAUAUUAUUAAUAUUCGGAGGUGAAUUUUGACGUGCCUGACUAUACACAUCAAGCCGGAUGCGACUUUUCAGGGGGAAAAAAGACGCGUCCUGUGGGUGGAAGCGAGAAGACUGACACAACAGCAGACUGAGUGUUUUUCAGUUCUGUUCAGACCCUAGUGUUGAGAUGUCUGUCUGUCAUGAUAGCAUGUACUGAGUCGGGGUCAGUACCAGAUAAGCACAUUAAACUAUAAUCCAUAAACGUAAGGUAACAACAGAGACCUAAUGGUGCUGUGACAGCAACACUGUGAUUGAGUUUGAGACAGUGAAAAUACAUAUGGUAUGUUGUAUCUGAACAGGUUAGCUUACGAGCUAAAGUUACUUAGCACAGAUGAAAGUUAAAACAAAGACGUUUAUCAAACUGUUAAAGCUCACAAACCAUCGUCAGAUGAGAAAUCCGACGCUAUGACUCUCCACAAGUCGUCCUUCAGGUCGUUAUCUUUGUAAUAUUUGUGUUUUUUAUCAAAAAUCACUCUGUUCUCCGACAUGUAAACAAUCAGCCGGUCGGCCAUGUUGGAUAUACCGGUGAAUCUGAUGUCACAACCACACGAAAUCUGAUUGGUCAGAAGUGGACACACAGUAUGUGAAACUUUGGCAAA